CAUAGGUUGAGGUAGUUGGAUGCAGUUAUCGUAUCCCUAUGAUAUCCUGCAUAGUGCAUACACAUUGUAGAUGCAAUCAUAGCUUUAAAGCCCUCCCAAUAGUUUCAGGAUACUGCAAAUCAUUUUACGUGAAUAUAGUAAUCAGAUAAAUGGAUGCGGAGGUUCCCGAGCCUAAUUCAGGCACAAGGCUUUAAGAAUUCCCUGGUCGAAAGAGAGUUGCUUCACUGCUACCUCUUAGAAAUGCUAUUUAGCUAUUUCUCCUGUUCCGCCCAUGGGGCAUCCUCAACAACGCAGCUGCACCUACCCGCUAAAACACGGAAUAUGCUGUCCAAGCUCGGGAAGUACUUCAAGCACUGCAAGGUUGCCCACAAAAUGCUGUCCAAGUGAAGUGUGUCAUGGUUCUCAAUUGUUCCAAAUGUAGAGAGUGACAAGCGGCAAAUGACAAGAAGUAACAAGCCAACUUCAACAAGCUUAAGUGUGACAACAGCUUCUAGCAUCAUGAAUGUAAGAUAAUACAACAAAUAAGAGAGAAAAAAAAGGCUUAAGAAUAAUAUUUUUACAACCCAAUCUUGCCCACCUUCUUGUUUAGUGCUGAGACUGCCUUGGAAACUCUGAAAUUUAACAACUACUGAGCCACAGCAACAGUCAGGUCAGUAAGCUAAUAUCACAACCUUCUCGGCCAGGCCAAAUGCUUCCAUCAUGGACAGACUACCUUUAUAACCUUUCAAUCCCCAAUUCCCCAGUCUGAUACUGGUGAAAAUAAAUGAAAGUUCACCUCUUGAUAGUAAGUCUGUACAGUUGACAAUGCAUGAGCAUUAUUGAAUGUAAUAACAAAUAAACUAGCCGAGAUCUCCAUGGAGUUGAUGUCAUAACAUGUGAAACAAUUGCACAUAUGUCAUUGAACCAAUUACCAAUGACUACUAGGACCAGCAUGAGCUGCAGCCACUUUACUUGCAACGUAAGGCUUUGGCUGCACAACCUUGGCUCCUUCAAUUCCCUCAUCUUCUCUUUCACUCUUACAGCUUGGGUUCCUUCGGGGAUAUGAAGAUGCAUAUUGUGUGGGGAUGGCAGGAUUUCUGGUAGCCCUUCGCUGUUCAUACAGCUCAGGACCUGAGGUUAUGCAGUUGUUGUAAUGCAACAAAGAUCCGACAACUUUGCCAGGCCUUGCUCCAGCACCUGUCAAUGCAAGGCAAUACGCAUAAUAAGCUUUGCAUCAUCGAGUAACCAAAGUAAAUCUGGGUAUUGCAACAACACAGUAAAACUGGAAAAAUUCAUUUAACUAUUUGCUCAUUAUUUAGUGGAUCCAAGUAACAACUCUCGAUCAGUUAUGGUAAUUCUACAGCACAUACUCAGCUUUCUGAGUUGUUAUAUGCAUCAAUAUUUGUGCAUAAAUUUGAUUCAAGCUUUUGCCCAUGAAUAGUAAUAGAAGAAAACCGAAGUCAUGAUAAUUAGAAAAGCUGAGAAAUAAGUGUUUCAAAAGAAUCAGCAUGACACAGAGACCAAAAUCCACAACAAAUUGCAGGCUCCAAAACCUAAUACUCCUAGACAACAAAUGAAGUGACAAGAUACACAUGCACAACUCUUUUUCAUCUAUAACACCAUCAGAAAGACCGCAUCUUAUAAACAUGCAAAGGAAACUUCUCUAUAAGAUAUAUUUUCCGGAGUAAGCUGAUAAAGAAUAAGAAACAUCAAAAAUCCAUGUUUUGUGAAUUGAAGGCACUGUAAUAGUUAAUCUCCUGGACAAAUAAGGUUUCUCAGUAUGUUUAUCUCCAUUUGUUUCUUAACUGUGUCACAAUAUCUAAAAGCAAGACAAUUAACAAGAUAAUCUUGUUUCCCCCAUCUUUCUGGUCUAAUGGACUAGCAACAUUAAAAAGAACAGUAUUUUUAACAUGAGAGAGCAAGAGAUAAAAAGAUAAGAGAGAGAGAGGAAUAGAGAGAUCACUUAAAAGGGAAAUAAACAAAAGAAUAAAAGAUGGUGUGCAUAAAAUGUUCACAUCUAUUCUUCUCUUUCUUUCACGGCAACCCCCUGCCCCAACAAAAAAAAGGGUACAUAUGAUGAUGCAAGUAAUGGACUACAUUUAAAUAUGGCAAGGGUUGCAAGGAGAAGAAAAGAAGAUUUACUCGAACUAUGAAGUAGCAUAGAAGAUAACUACUAUUACAGCAGCGACUCUCCAAUCCAAUCUGCUAAAAGGAUGCAACUUUUUUUUUUGCAUCAGCCUCCCAUGUCAAGUUUACGGAUUGGUCCCCCCCUUUUUGUAAUAGUAAUUAUAGAUGUGUCAGCAGAUGGUAAAGAAGAAGAAACCACAUGGUGUAUGUUGUUUGUGGACUGUCAUAUAAGGAUUUGCAAGGUAUCACUGGACAUAAUUGGUAGAAUCUCAUGCUUCUAGAGGGAUCAUCUACAAGGCUCAGUGUACCAGAUCCUGGACACGAUCUUCCUAGAGAUGGAGAGUGUGCUGCCUCGCCUUUUCUAGCCUCUCCUUCUUGCUUGCUUACCUUGCUCUUGUCUUAAUGACUCUUCCUCUUUUUUAGGUUUUUUUUUUCUGAGAGUUAAAAUGCUAGAUGUUUCAUUUGCCAAUGACUUGGAUCCCUUUGACAGACUUAUCCUUCUGAUAGCGAUUGAUGUUGCUGCCAGAAUCAAUGCCUCCAAUCUGUCUGAGGAGAACCAGAAUUCCAAGGAUAUCAUGGAACAUUACACUGAAACUUAAUUCCUAAAAGCUGCUAUAUUUGCCUCAAGCUCCUCAGCUAAGCCUGAAGGCCUCUCUGCUCCACUUCAACUUGGUGCUGUUGAAAACUAUCCUAGGUGAGUCUGAUCGAUCCAAUCAUGAAUGAUGUCAACCCCUCUUUUUCGCCUAACAAAUGGAUUAGACUAGAACAGAUAUUACUCCAAAUUGGAAAAAAAAAAUUCCUAAAUGCUUCAAACUACAGCGAAGUUCGACGAAUGAGCGGCUAAAAUAUGGCCAAACUAAAACAGAGAACAUGGAAUACAUCUUUGGUGGAUAAUUUUCUAAAAUGAGGCACUGAUGGAUAAUUUGCUAAGGAUGAGGCACCUGUUAUUUUCUUAUAUCGAAGCCAUGACCUUCAGUGACCGUAUGCCUAAUACCAUGUUAACAAACCAUUUGCCCCUAAAAGCUUAAGUUUGUUAUAUGUAAAGGAAUGGGUCAACGAUGCAUGUUAGGCUUAAAGACUAUAAUAGGCAAGAUGGUAAUGGAAGGAGCGCAAUGGGGAUGCUACAUCACAGACAUUAAGAAAAGAGCAUAUGUGAAUAGCGGAGAUGAGGAUAUGUAGAUCAGGGCAUCGCAAAACUAGGAAGGAUAUGGGUUGAAACAAGUAAUUUAAUGGAUGAUAACAAAUUGCACUGAUAAAAGACCUAUUCAGAUCACAGAGUAAUGUAAAAAGAAGAUCAUAGAAGGUAAAAGUCAGAGAAAAGGGGCACCAUGGGGUAGUACUAGGAUUACAUGAAUACAGUGCAUGAAGGGGCAAUCCAUUUGCAUAAUUCACUUAAACUGAGGCCAUUCAAAGGUGCAUAAUACCGGUGAUUUUUUCAACGUUGCACAGCUAGCUCUUCCAGGCUAAGUGGCCAAUUAUAUGACAGUUCUAACUUCACCCCUUUGUUGAAGCAAGUAUUAUUCUCGGCAUUCACAUUUUUUUUCUUUAAAAAAUUUUAAUUACUAUUUACAAUUUUAGAGAGCAAGCUCCCAGUUGAAUAUUUUUAACAUGCCUAAUCAUAAGUAUAUCAAGGUCAUCUUCACUUUCAAACAACCAACGAGAUGAAAUGCUACCCACUAACUGAAAUUACAUAUCCAAGUAUUGAAUAGAGUAAACAAGUUUGCUUGCUGCACAAAAAUUGUAAGAGCACUUGAUUAUUCACCUUGGACCCUUUGGGGAACUUGAAGUGGAACCCUUGUCAUAGGGACCAUGCAAUUCUCUGGUUUUGGCUUCUCAGAUUCCUUGAUUAAACAUUUAGAAGAAUCUUCUGUAAUGUCCCUUGAGUUCAGCAGCUUGUUAUCUGAAUAAAAAACAGAAGGCCUAUGCAUACAAAAGCUGAAUCAGUUGCACCUACACAUAGAAACAGAUCCCUUUGACUAUCUUCAAGCAUGAAAACAAGUAUCACAUACCUGGGUAAUGACGCAUGUUGCCUCUCAGGUGGGGCAACAGUUGCCCCACUUUCAUAGUUCUCUUCAAGGUAAGCAAACUGCUUCUUGAAGUGAUCAACAGCACUGUAAACAAAAUUAGUUUGAAUUUAACUUUGAAGAUAAUAGAACAUCAGGGGAAAACAAGGUUAAGUGUUUAAACUAAUUAUUGCACGGCACCAAGGUAUUUAAAGCCAGUGGCCAUCCUGCCAGCAUGAGACAUGCCAUGUUGUUUGCCAUGCCAAAGCAAAAAAUAAAAAUAAUAAUAAUAAUAAAAUAAUUUAAUAGAUUCAUUCUGAUCCAUGCUGGGUGCCAAUACUGGCCUGACAUGUUAUGUGCCCACAGACACCACCAGCAGUCAAAAACCUUGGAUUGCAAUAUUAAGAUUUAUUGGUGUACAAUUGCAAAACACUAUUGUUGCAAACAGGGUGAUUGAAAUGAAUGGUCUAGUUAAAAUUGUUGAAUGCUAACGUGAAAAGCAUACUUUGAACUAUGAUAAAGGAUAUACUUCCUAAGACAUUUUUUAGAUUUACAUUUUAGUUUGCCCAAAUUGCAACUUAAUAAGCUAGGUUCCAGGUAACUUGAAUAAUUAUAUGAAUCCAAGGUUGACCAUGUUGAAGUUUCCGAGGGUUAAAACAAUUGCCACAUUCCAGGCUGGCAGAAGGUAAUUAUAUAAAUUAUGCUAUCUAUAUCUUAGUUGCCAAAAUCAAAAGUGGAUGCGGCAGCUNNNNNNNNNNNNNNNNNNNNNNNNNNNNNNNNNNNNNNNNNNNNNNNNNNNNNNNNNNNNNNNNNNNNNNNNNNNNNNNNNNNNNNNNNNNNNGUUGUUGUUGUUGUGGUGGUGGUGGGUGGGUGGGNGGGUGNGAGAGGGGGGCCGGGAAUAGGGAACCGAACCUGCAUAUGCAUGUCAAUUCAGUGAGCUGCCUUGACGGAAUUGCUCAAUUAGUAAACAAGUAGAGCUUGAGCAUGAAACUAAACACAAAUAGUUUCAAGCUUAGCUUGAGAAUUGGCAGGUCAUCCUGUAUUUAAUUCCAUUAUAUGCAUGUGCAUGAGCAUUGCCAGGUCCUCCCAUAUUUAAGAAUAACUUUAGAACAAUGUAGUUCAGUAAACCAAUCAAAGUGCACUUUGCACCAUUAUAAGUUCAGUUGUGAUCUAAUGUUUGAGAUAUGUUCAAAGUGUAUAUUAAAAGCCAUGGGGUUCUAGCUCUCGCCAGUGAGCUGCUUGUUAACAGCUUGAGUUCGGCUUGAAAUUAAUUGACCCAACCUUAAGCUUGGGAGUUAGGAUUAAAUCACCUAUUAAGAUGAGCUAGAGAUUGGCCUGAUUAUAAUCAAGCCAAGCUCAGUCACACCCAGGAACCAGGGUCAGAAUAGAUAUACAAGUAAUAAAUGCAGAGACCUAUUAGAAUUUCAUUAUAGAAACCCACAUGCUAACUCCAAGCUAAUACGAGCAUCCAGCAUGUAUUUCUAGGAAUUGUGAUCACAAAGAAAUCGAAACCACUCAAAUGGCCGAAGUUAUGAUAGCUAAAUACCUUGGAUACAUGAAGCCAGUUGACUCUGUCCCUUCCAAGAACUCUUUCUUCAGCUUCGGAUGAUACUCAAGAAUUUCUUUAUAUAUGAGCUCCCUUACAUCUUCCUUCGUUAUCCUUCGUCUCUCAAAGUCAAACUCCAUUUUUGUGACUGGCUGAGCAGAAGGCUCCCUCUCAACCUUUGCUAUAUUCUUGAAAUAGGGAUCGGCCAAAGCCUGACACCUUGUGGCAAAAAUCAGUUUCUUUAGAUAGAGAAAUCAUAUUUAUAGACAAUAUAAAGGAGAAACAGAAAGCUUCAUUUCUGAUAAUUGUCAUCCAGUUGAAGCCUGCUAUUUGUACCUCCUCAGCAGUUGGGCGAUCCUUGGGUUCAAAAGCUAGCAUCCUCUCUAACAAACGAAGAGCAAGUGGGUCAGCAUUUGGAAACUUCCGAGAAAAAGGUACAGGUUUUUUUCUGCGCAUGCUGCUUAAAUACCGUCUUGCUUUCUCAUUGCGCACCUGCAGAAAGUAAAGAAAGGUUUAAUGUAGCUACUAUAAACUACAACCAACUCAAAAAGGCAUCCCGAUGUGUGUUAAAGAGUUUUUGUGAAGUGACACAGACCCUGGCAAUGGCUUCUGGAGAAGGUGUUCCCAACAGAUCUGUCAUUAUAUCCAAUUGGUGGACCACAUUCUUUCCAGGGAAAAGAGGUUUUCCAGUUAACAAUUCAGCAAAAAUACAGCCAAUACUCCAGAUAUCUAUUGCUGGUGUAUACUGCAACAAAUUCAAAUUGUCAAAUAAAAGUAAAUAUAUAGAUGCUUCUAUGAACUUCAGGAAAUAGAUUGUCAAAAUUUUAUAUAUCAAUAGAUAAUCAAGGUAUGUAUUCAUAGGUUAAUGUAACCAAAGGAGCCUAGGCAUGUUCACAUGAGGAAUAUAAUUCUUCUCUUUUCUGUAGCACUAUCGUGAUAAAUAGAACACAAGCUAUAGCAUAGAGCAAUAGCAAUAUCAAGAAAUAUUUAUAACCACCACUAUAUUAGUAGCAAAUAUUUCAUGACAUUAAGGGACCAGUAUUUCAUAGAUCAGAGAAUACUAUCAACAAUGCUAUGUACAUGAUGCACCAACAUCAUCAUCAAAAAAAGAAACGCAAGCAUGAAUCUGAAAAAAAAAAUCCCAAUUUCUGACACUUCAUAUGAGGGCCCACAACAUAAGUUCCUCUCUUUACUGAGAGCUUACAACCAUCCACCCCUUUAAUAUAGCUCAAGGGAAGAUUGCAGUCACAAAUCCACCAAUCUAAUGCAAGAUCAUGAAAUCCAUCUAAACCACCAAAGUCUCUCAUGAUAGAUCACCCUUAAGCAAGAAUAUAGCCAGCAUCACAACCCCUCUUUCAUGAUGACUGAAGUGACUCUCUAUCUCAAUUUGCCCAUCAAAGUAGGGCCAUAUCUUCUAGAUUAAGCGAAAGGUACUCGCCAAAACAGUCCUACUUUUCAAAUACCAUUGCUAAAUUGACCUCUUUGAUUUCCAGAAACAAUCCAAUGCCAGCUUCAUUUGGAUUCCCACUACAGAGGCAUCAGUCUUUGUUUUUAGUUAACCCACAUCGAGUAUUUCCUAUCUGCAUGAUUGCAUCAAAUCUUCACUUUACUUCUGGUCCUUUCCACCCUGUUUGCCAAUCUUGUCUUCUUAACUACAGCACUGUUUGGACCCAAGAUUUCAAAAGCCAGCAGCACAAACCAAAUGUGCCGGUGUUCCAUGUUAAAACAAUAAGGUAAAACGAAAAAAGGCCAUUGCCCAGUUAUAUUCUCAGUAAUCCAGGUCCAAGAAGGGGCAGACUGUAGGCAAACCUAAUCUUUUGCAAUUUUUUAUACAAAGUGGCUAUCCUAGGACCCAAAACCAUGCCAUUGCACUUGUCAGCCCAAGUAUUUACCAUUGCACCUAUCAGCCCAAGUCUUUACCAUUGCACCAAGCAAUGCCCCCAAAUUAGGUAAAAUAAAAUAAGGAAUUGAAAAGCCCUUUGUUAUUAAUGGUAUGUAAUAGAUGACAUGCCAAUCCAUGCCAGGUAUCAAUAUUGGCUUGGCAUGGUGUGUGCCGGACCGCACAGGCCAGCACUUGAAGCCAUGUUUUUAACAUUAAUAUUUUCUUAUUCUUCAUCUUAAAUUCUAAACAAAAUCCUAUUUUCUUCUCCUUAACUAUGAACUCAAUAAAGAAAAGAUGAAAAGAACCAAUUAAUAUGCAUUUGAGAAUGGUUAAGCCAGACCAAAUCAUCUCAGCCUGUUGGAAUUUGUUGUAACGUCAAUAUCAAUCAAAACUUCCCAUAGUUUUCUAGAUCUUCAGCGCAUGCUUAUAUGUUCAGGUUCCAACCAGAAACUUGAAAAAUAUACAAUCACAAUGCAGAGGAAACCAUUAAAAAAAGUUUAGUAGUUGGCAAUCUAGUCUAUCUUCCAUAAGCACACUUGACUCAAGGAAUGACAGAAGACUUCGUUAUACAUGCCCCACUCAAAAAAAAAUCUGAGGAUUUUCUUCUCCCAUUGCAUCUGACUUACGAUAACCAACCCAACUCAUCAUUUAGCCAUUUUCAUGGCAACUUCAGUAUGGAAUCUCCUCUCAACUUUCUCUGAGUGAAACGACAGACUGAGUUUUUCUUUUUGCCAAUUAUUAUGUCCAUUUGACAGCUGAUUAGCUCUAGAAAGCUACCCGCAGCAGUGAAGUCCGUUAUGCACUAAAACAACUGAACCAGCAGGCUUUUAAUAAUCCAUGGAUCCUGAACUACAGAGAUCUUAUUUCCAUCCCCAGUAAACUACUUAAACCUUUACAUGCAAACAACCUUCUUCAGAUUUGCAGUGGCUUCAUUAUCAUGAUAUUUAGCAUUAGUGAAUUGAGACCAUAUGAGCUGACCAAUGCAGAUCUUUUCAGCAACUUGUUUCAUCAUACGCUUCAUAAAACUUGCACAAUCAUUUGAUAACUAGCUUUCCCUAGUUCUCAAAACAUUAUUGUGAUAUAUGAGGUGCAGCUCCCUGUCUGACCCUUUAUUCCAGAGGAGCACUUCAAUUGGUUUUUCAAUCUUACCCAUAAUUCUGCAGGAAAAUGAGCAUAUCCAUUAUCGGCCUCUUCUCAAAGAUGUGUUUUAAGCCAUGUCGCCAGGAUACUUCUAUUUCUGGGAGUUUUGGAGUGCUGAUACUUUUGGAUACUUGGAAUAAACUUGACACUUGACAACAUUUCUAAAACAGUGUCCUGCUUAUGUCAACUAGAAAUGUUGACACUUGGUGGCUUUUUCAAGAAUCCUGUCAAAAGAACACUUUACUCAGUGACACUUGAAGUCUCAACUAUUUUGCCACUUAACAGUAUUACCAAAGUGUCUAGAUUUUCUAGUGAAGUGGCACACCUGUUUUUGGCUUUUUCUUUUUCUUAGAUGUUAUUACCACACAAAUUUAAGUUUUGUUUUCCAUAAUUUAAAGCAUUAUUGGCCGGACAACUUGCAUUACUCAUCAGCAAAUCCUAUGAUUUUUAGAUUUUUUUAUUUUUCUAAUUUGUAUCAGAGGGAAAUGUCCUUAUGCAGAUUUUUAGGGUUUAAGGUGUCAAACACUUGGGGACACGUAAGGGAUGCACUAGGGCUAGCCAGUCAACAAAAUUUUACAUAGUUCAGGUCACACUUUUGCCCCAGUCCUAUUAAUCAUUUAGAAUAUUCUCAGCCUAAGCACACCGAAUGUGCAUCCUUAUUGGCACCCAUGCCAAGUGUCUAGGUAUUUUACUCUUAACAUGCAUUAGGGUAUCAUCAAUUUUCCUCCAUCCUUAGCACUUCCGCAAAGAUUCUCUUGUGCUACUCCAUUAUAAUCACAUUAACCAGAAAUAGGACUUACUAUAAUCAAUCUUUUCCAGAAUUAUCUGGUAAUUUUCCAACAUACUCUAUGAAAACGAGAUAUAACUAGAAACAUAAUGCAUGGUUCAUAAUAAAUUCUUUAACAAGAUCGGAGACAAUAAUGCAACAGAAUAGAGAAGCAUCCACUUUCAAUAUUAUAAAUGAUAAGGUGAUUCUUCUUUGCAAAAAAAAAUAUUGAAGUAUAGAUCAUUCACAGAUUUUCCACGAAAAUACAGAUUGAGGUCAUAUUAUGAAUAUAUUAAGAGAGCAAAUAAUUAAAAUCCAGGAAAGAAGAAAAAAUCUUAAAAUAGAUAGCUCACAUAAAGUUUAUAUCACCAAAAGCAAUAUUAAAACUUUAAUUUUUUUAACAUGGAGAAUGAAUAAAGUCCACAGACCUUUGAGAAAAAUGAUCCACACAAUUCAGGCGCCCUAUACCACCUUGUUGCAACAUAAUCCUGCAAGUAGAGCCAAAAGUGAUUAGGUUAUCUCAAUUGUUCAAACUACUAAUUUACUAUGAAUGUUGAGAUCCAAGGAUAGUAUUUAUAAAAUUGAUGACCAUAUUUAAUUGAAAAGAAAAUACCGUCCAAAAUAUGGCAGUGGGAGUGUCAUGGAAGGCCACCCUUGCAAGUCCAAAGUCACAUAUCUUGAGUUUGCAGUCAGAAUUUGCUAAAAUAUUUUUGGGUUUAAGAUCCCUGUGAAAAACAUUUGCUGCAAAUUCAUCGAGGAUGAAAACAUAAGAAAAAAAACUUAGUAACCAAGAAAAAGACCAAGUUUGAUUAAAAUCCAACAUAAAACAUUCGAAGUCGUUCAUAUAUGAGUUGGAAAACCAUAUCCAGAUAAACAAGAUGAUUAUGUACCUCAAGUGUCUUUGAAUUCAUUAGCAAGUGUUUUGACGUUUGGCACGCUAAAUUACAAAAACAAAAUAUCAAGAAAAAAGAAGGAAAAUAAAGUGGUGCUACAGUUUCGAGCGAAGGGGAGGUAGGACAAGAAUAUGAAGGAAAAGGGUGUUAUCACCCGCCAAGACACAAUUAUAGUUACUAAUUUGAGAAGUCCCUGCAUAAAUAACCAAUGAAGAGCUUUAUGAACUUUGUCAUAGUUUUAGUUGUCUGAGUUGAGAAAAGGGGUUGGAGUGGCAAUGAAGAGCACAAAAAAUUAAUGAAUGCAGAAAUAUUUUAGUAGUUUUGCGUAGGAUUAAGUGAUGCAUUAUAAUUUCUUCAUAUGGUUGUAUUCUAAAAAAUUGCACAAUAUAGCAAUUCAGAAAUGAUGAAAUAAUAAACGAUAAAGGCAUGACUGAAUAUUGAUUUUGAAAAUAAGUAGGAAAAAGAAAGGCAUUAGAACAAUGGACCUUGAAGAAGCUACAGGAGUGAGAGCAAGACUGAAGACUGUGUGUAAUUCGGUUACUAAUGUCAAAAUCAUAUAAAAUAUUUAUCCUUAACCAACUUAAAUCAAACCCUAUAUUCUCAUGAGCAACCAAUAUGACAGCCAUCUUAUAUUCGUAAUGCAGAAAAGAUGAAAAAAAGGCAAGGAAAACAAGUUCCCAUAAACCUCUAAGCAGCAUAUGGAUCAAAAAUCAUUGUGUUGGAUGAUUCACACCUAUUAUUCAUCUGGAUAUAGAGAUAUGUACUUAAUUAAAUCAUGUUCACCUGGUUAUAGAGAUAUGUACUUAAUUAAAUCAUGUCUCCUGCACUGUGAUUGUCAACCUUGCAUGAUACUCCCCCAAUCCCCAGACUACUAAUCUAUACAGAAGGGUUGCUUCCAGCAUUAUAUCCCCGAACAUUUACAGCAUGGUUGCACUGUCUGUAAGCAUGUGCAUCCUCUGAAAAAAGCAAAUGAAAUAGAAACUAAAGUCCAAAACUCAUGCAAAAGAUAGAUGUACUAGUCACCUGUAUGUAUGUACUUUAAACCUCGAAGCAGCUGAUAAAGAAAAAAUUGAUAGUGUUCUGGAGUCAAAUCAUCAUUGGCCUUAAUAACCUGGUGUAAAUCAGACUCCAUGAGUUCAAAGACAACAUAGAUGUCUUUGAAUUCCCUUCUCGAUGGAGGUAACAGUAUGUGUUUGAUUUCCACAAUGUCCGGAUGACGCAGGAGCCUAAGAAGCUUAAUCUCACGAAGUAUUCGUGUGGCAUCAGAGACAUGUUCAAAGAUAUCAUUGAUCUUCUUGAUAGCAACUUUUUCCCCAGUAUGAGUAUCAAGCGCAGAGCAAACAACACCGUAGCUACCUUUGCCUAUCACUUCUUCUAUCUUGUACCUGCUACCCUCACCAUAUGCUGUGAAGAAGCCUACUUCUGCUGAUGCCUGUAUAAUCAAUGUCAUCAGGUCCAGAAUGUUGCUUGGCAGUUGGCACUACAUGAUAAGCGAGAGUCUACAAGCAGCAACUAUGUUUUUGAAUGUAUAAAAGGGAGAAAGAAGACAACAAUAACACUCAUAUUCUUAUCAGCCAUUAUGUGCCAUUAUGAGAUACUCCAUGCUAAGAUAUACAACUGUUUAUACUUGGAUAUAAUGCAAUUAAAUGCAUGAUCCUCUAUCAGAUACUGUUCAGACAUCUAUUAAUAUGGAAAACCCAAUAAAACAUCUAGGUGUCCAAUUGUUCAAUGAGUCACCGAUGAAUAGAUAGCUGACAGAGUCCAGGCACAAUUUAACUAGCAGAAUUGCGACGAGAUCAAUGACAUGAGUCUAUACCGAAAAUCCAUCAAAGAGGUCAUCAUCUACUCUCAGUCCAGAUCAACUGGCAAAUCAUCAUCAUGUAGAAAUUAUGACAGAUUACCAGCCAGUUUGACUCAACAUAUCUGUCAAUGAAUAUGAAGAGAUCAAAAAUCAUCAUCAUGUAGAAAUUAUGACAGAUUACCAGCCAGUUUGACUCAACAUAUCUGUCAAUGAAUAUGAAGAGAUCAACCUUCAGCAUCCAAAGGAAAAAGCUUAGCAAAUCAUCAAGGAUUCCAAAUUCAUGGAACACAGGAGUUGCCAAAAGAUAUCUAUCUUAUCAAGGAUAAAUGUGCUCUCAAAGGAUAUAUUUGCAAUCCACAUACAGAUCCCUCAUAUCUCUAUCUAGGAGCCACCAUUUCUGGACUUUUAAUGGGUGAAAGAUGACAUAAAACAAGUAGGCACAACAAAUGAAAGCUUACGAAAGCAAGUGAUUAGACAGCUACACAUAUUGAGUGCCUUGCACUGAAUUACCCGUCUAUCAUCAGAAAAACGAUCCUCAGCAUAAGAUAAAUGGGUCUGCAUGCAAGAUGAACUGAUCGCACAUAUUUGGAACAUGCACCAUCAGAUCAAAAUUGGAACGCUGUUGGAAGUGUGGUCACUAGAGGAACAGCAAGCAACAAGCCUAUUCCUAGAUCAGCACGCCACAUUCAAACUAUUCUUGGAUGACUCUGGAUAAUUCAUCCAACCUCCACCAAUACAACACCGUCAUGUGUCUUAUAGUCAUUACAAGAGGUAUCACACAACAUUGAAAUAUUCAAACGCUCACAUCAAAACUUGAAAAAAUAAAAGAGGCUACAGGAGAAAGAAUAAUUCAAACAAUGAACUUGCACACCUACUCGAUUCUGCCUGUGUUUAUAUUAGUAGUACUUCAUCAUCUGAAUAUAUAAUUCACAACUUUCAGCAAAAAGUUAUCUUAUAUUCCACAUAGAUACUCAAAAAUGGCAAAGCUUGCCAAAUCAAAGGGGAACAUCACAAAACACUGACACGAUCCACAGAAUAGAACAAAAGAAGAAGAAAGUAGACAAAAGGAGGCGAAAACAGUUAAAGUAAGACCGCCAUGUUAUACCAAGUAAUCAGAAAUAAAAAUCUUCCACUUAAUUAAUCACAUCAAGAAGAAUAAGAAGAAGAUAGAAGAAAAACUUCACCUUUCUUCUCUGACCUGGCUGCAUCCUAUCGCAGGAGCCUCACCGACCACCGAAACACAUCGAACGGUCUCUACCUUAGCUGCCGCUAUAACCACAGCUCAAGAAGACCACCAAUCAACCAAAUAUCGAGCAAAAAUCCCACCUUUACAAGCCUCUGGGGACAGAACUCGGGAAAAAAAUCCAAAGAUUGACGAAAAGCUAAGACUUUUGAGAUCAAAAGAGAUACGCCAACUAGGUAGAGAUGCUGGAAACUCGAUAUAAUCUCCUGAAACAAAGACGGACAGCCCAUCAGCAGAAGAAAAGCCGGAGAUUCGACAAAGAAGGCAGCUGGAAGCUGCUCUCUGUUCUCUCCACCUCUCUCCUUUAAAUUAUUAUAUUCUCGAACAAACAUUUCAUUAAAAAAAGAAAAAACAAGAAUCGCACAUGGAAGCCAAGCGGAAUUCCCAUCGUAUCCUACUCCCUUUAAUCUAUUCCAGUCCAAAAGCCAAAAAAGAAAAGAAAAAAAAAAAGGAAACUUUAAUAGUAAAAAAUCUCACCUUUUCUCCCCUGAAAGCUUACAAAUUGCAACCAUAUUGAGCUCGGAAAAUCCAAAAAAGAAAGAAAUCAGACUUCUUCUCUCCGCUACAGGCGCUGAAGCAAUUUGACCAAAAAAAAUGACAAAACUGGAGGAAAAAAAAUCCAACAGAAGCGAAGGAGGAAUGAGAGGAAAAAUGGCAGAACCUUACAAGGGGAGGGGCCGACGCAGAUAUAAUAAAGGCAGUGGGACAGCGGCACAGGGCUUGCUUGUGGUAAGACAAUCCGCGGAGAAGUUUAGCGUCGCGCCAUCCGCCGCAAUGUGCGAUCGCUGAUUGGACGGCCCAAAUCGGCCGAAGUCGGAUUGGUUGCAGUUUUUCGCGGUUUAACUUACCUGAUCUUUUUCGGUGCCAUUCAAAAACGUAUAUUCGGAGAUUAAGAUUCGAAUGGUAUAAUUUCUUACGCUGGUGGUUGUUAUUGGAAAUGCAUUAGAUUCUAAAUUGAAAACUCUUUUUAAAAAUAGAAGGCAAGCUGUAGCAUUUAGUGGGAUUUUUAUUUUUCCGUACGUUGUGCUACUUUCUGAUGGGACCCACUUUAGGUGAUAGAGAAACUUACGGACAGCAUGAAUUUGGUGACAAGCACCAUUUUUACGAGAAACAGGGGCAGAAGGUUACUGUGGGAAACGGAUGGUGUGGAUGGCUUUGGACGAACCUCUUUGAUUUUAUUUUUUUUUUUUGUUGACAACUCAUAUCGACUUAAUAUAAAUAUAUCUAAAAAUAAAAUACAAUAAAUUAUGAAGCGUCCGAGAGAGCUUCUUCUCAUUAGUCUAAAAAAACUUCUAGAGUUAUUCGCCACAAAAGAUGUCAUCCAGUUCACGACUCCAUUAGCUUCUCUAUAUACAAAAGCCAGACAUUAGUCCUAUAAAAAAAAUAUUUGGAUGAGAAAAAAUUCUUUCUAUCAAUCAAAUUAGAUCAUAAUUCUAAACAGACCUAACCUCGCCGCUAUUUUUUAAAAUUAUUAUUGAUUGAAGGAUUCAUGGUAAUCUAUCGGAUAAUAUCCCUCUCAGAUUAAUUAGGAGCAACAACCUCCUUUUGUAAAUCCCUACGAGUCUUGCAGGUCCGCAGAUGAGAAGAGGGCACGACUUCUUCUCACUUUUUUAAUGAUUAAACUACUUAAAGUCUCUUUCAUUGGUUCAUUAAAGAUUGCCACGGAUCGCCACCCGAGCGUCGUCAGCCGUCAGAUGAAACAAAUGAUCCAACGGACAAUACAACACGCUCCAAUGGUGAGGAGCUUUCACUCCACCGCUAUAAAAUUGUAGCCCACUCCAUUUAAGUCCCGCGAGCUGAUUCGUUUGGAGUUUCCAAACACCACCGACUAAAGUUAGGAAAAGAUCGGAGAAUACGCAAUGGAGACCGAAGGAGCCCAGAUUAAGAAGGAAUUUGGUGGUCGGAAGGGCGGCGGCUUGAAGAAGAAGCCCCUCUCCCAAUCCAUCAAAAGCCAACCUAAACUGCCCUCAGCUCCACCCCAAGGACCGAGAUGUCGAAGAUCAAGCUUCCUACAGCUGCCGCCAAUCUAGAAUUCAACUCUUUGAUCACGAAACCCACACUACCCCUCCUACCACCAUCAAAAACAAAUCCAUCAAAAUUUAUCUUGAGAAAGUUCAGGGAUGAGGGCUCCCAAGUAAUGUACACCGUCAGAGAUGUUACAUGAGCAGAGAUAGAGUCCCAAGUGCCCCGAGCUAUCAAUAGCUCGCCUGAUGAACCAACAUAGGUGAUCUCUGCAGCCUGCACUCAGGCCCUCUCCAUGACGAGCCUUAGUGUGGAAUUGCUCUCUCUGAAUAUCCAAGCAUUUCUAGCUAGCCAAAUGUGAUAAGCUUCAUAAGUCGCCCUGAUGGCCACAUACCGGGUAUGAGGUGUACCGGACCACCUCCCGAGCGCCUGGGUAAAGAAGCUAAACUAGCGUAAAGCCUCUAGCAGUUUACAGACAACCUCCACAUCUACACAGCCCAAUCACACUGGAAUAACACGUGAUCCACAGACUUCUCCACCUCACACCUAGGAUCGAUCGGUGGAUGCUAAAUCCGCACCUGCUCAAGACGGUCCUAGUCGAUAGACAUCCCUAAGUCACCUUCCACAAGACUAAAGCAACCCUCGGGUGAAGACCAAACCUCCAAAUCCAGGCACAAUCCAGCCUCUGAGUCUACUCACUCUGGAAUAAGUCGUAGAUGUCCCUCCACAGACUCUUGGACCGUAAAAAGUACUCUAGACCCUCACAUCUAAAAUAUCGCAUCAUAGAACUGCCAAUGAAUGCACUCUCUCUGCAAAGUGAUCUCCAAAUAGAUGACCAAUCCGGAUAGAGUCCCAUCUUGUCCCACCAAGGCAGAGGAGAUCACAAACUCGAAAACCACCCACGACCUCAAUAAAGAGUGUCCACCCAAGGGUCCUCCACCAUAUCCACUCUGUGCCCAUCUCCAAUCAGCCAUCUAAUGUUGGCCAAAAUAGUAGAAACAUGCCUGUAGAUCUCCCUCCAAAUGAAGAGGCACCUCCAUCCACUAUAGAAUGCCCUAUCAGCUAUCGUAGGAAUCAUACUAGGCUAUCAUUGUUGUGGGAAUAAAGGGGCCUGGACUUAAUCCCACAUCGACUAACUAGCGGAGAGAUCUGCUCCUUAAAUGGGGGGCUAUCCCUUUCUCUUCAGAAGCGCCUUUUGCAGGGCAAAAUUAUGCGUUGGAAAGAGACUAUGUAACCUCCUUCAAAGCAGACAAUACCUCUGAGGAGAAAUAGUCGCUUCCGCUGUUUAGACCGGUGGGAGCGAGGUCGGAGGGCGACAGAUCUCCCCGUAGCACUGGACGCACGGACCGGAGGCCGAUCUCUCUUGACCUCAUCACUGGUAGCCCAUGCAGGUCCCCUUGACCUCGGCACAGACCUCCCUACUGGGGGGGCUAUGUUGUGGGAAUAAAGGGACCUGGAUUUAGUUCCACAUCGACUAAAUAGCGGAGAUGUAUGUUCCUUAAAUAGAGGGGGGCUACCUUCAGAGGCACCUUUUGCGGGGCAAAAUCGUACGUUAGAAAGAGACUAUGAAAACCCCCUUUAAAGUGGAUAAUACCUCUAAAAAAAAAACAGUCGCUUCCUCUAUUUAGACCGGUGGGGGCAAGGUCGAAGGACGGCAGAUCCUCCCGUAGCGCUAGACGUGCGGGUUGAAGGCUGAUCUUCCUUGACCUCAUCAAUCAUCACCUAACUCCAUAGUCACUGUGGUUCAAGAAACAACCCCGUGGCACGUCUGGCGACCAAAGCCUCUCUCCUCUGAGUAGAAACUAGACACCCAUCCCCCUCCUGAGUCACUGGCAAAUGACACCCCAGGCAAGAAAGUGUACCCCGUGUCCGUCACCAUACGAGCCUCACAAGAAGCUCCAGAGCGUUUGCUCAAUCCUCUGCAGCAUCGACUUCGGGACAACCGUAUUGGACAUGAGGUAGAUUAAUAUGGAGCUGAGGAUCGAUCUCACAAGGGUCGGCCUGCUCAUUAUGGAUAACGAAUCAGCUCUCCAACCCUCCAACCGCUCUAAGAUGCCCUGCACCACACUAAGGCACUCCAUCGUUCGUAGUCUCCUUCUAAUGAUGGGUACGCUCAAGUAACUCCGCAGUCACUGGUGCUCCCUCAUACCAAGGAGCUCUCUGAUGGUCUGCUUCACCCUCAGCUUGGUCUUUAGACUGAAGCAAAUGGUUGACUUGGGCAAGUUCACCUUCUGAUAUGAGGUCAUGUAAUAGUCCUCCAAAAUGCAUCUAAAAGCCAUCACGUCCCUCAUCCUCGCCUUGGCCAAAAGGAGACAGUCGUCUGCAAAGAAAAGGUGGAAUACCAGUUGAGCCCCCAAGGCUGCCACAUAGGCAUCUAUCGCUCGUUCCCGACAUGCUACCCAUAAGGCUCAGGAUAACACAUUAGCACAAAUAAUAAACAAGUAAGGGGACAGGGGACAACCUUGAUGCAGCUUAAUAGUGGAGUGGAAGAAAGAUGCUGGUGUGCCAUUGAUAAGGAUGGAGAAGGACGACACCCAUACAUAGCCUAGAAUCCAGCUGAUCCAAGCCUUGUGGAACCUGAAGCUCUCUAGGGCAUACCAGAGAAAAUCCCAACAGAUUCUGCCAUAGGCUCUCUUUAUAUUGAGCUUCACUACCAUGAAGAUUCGCUGACAUGGGGUGCGCUGCAGAUCCCACGUCAUCUUUUGGGCAAUCAGGACAUUUUCCAUGAUAUUCCAGCACCCCACAAAAACACCCUUCUCUGAGCUGAUAAGUCUAAGUAGCAAUAGCUUCAUCCUGCUCACCAUGAUCUUUGCCACCAUCUUAUACAGGAUAGAGCAAAAACUGAUCGGUCUGAAGUGGCUGGGCUCCAUUAAAUCCUAGCUCUUUGGGAUAAGGGUGAUGUAGCUUCUCAAGCAUCCAACAUUGAGGCUAUAUUGAAAAAUAGCUGGACUGUCUCCACUAUCUCUCUUUGAAUAAUGCUCCAGUAUCUCCUAAAGAAGAAUAGGAAAAGCCAUAUGGCCUUGGGGCCUUAUCCUCCACCAAGGUCCAAAUCACCCCCUUCACCUCACUCUCUAAAACCUAACGUUUUUUAUCGUCCCAACUCCAACGUCCGAGGUUGGAAAAUUGUUGGCCAUCUUCGGUCGCUGCCCUCAAUCUACCUAGAUCUGAAUAAAUAAAAUAGCACCUGUCUUAUCCUGCUCUCCUCCUCCACUCUUUGUCUAGUAUCAUCUUUCAAAGAUCAGACCAGGUUCCUUUAUCUCCUGACAAUGGUAGACUAAUGGAAGAAUUAAAUGUUCCUGUCCCCUUCUUUGAUCCAUUGGACUCUAGACUUCUGCCGCCAAAAUGCCUCUUGCUGCCGCAAAAGAGAAUGAUGCAUAGCCAACUUCUGUCGAAGGUAAGCUAGCCCCUCCUCAAAUAAGGCACCAUUGCUAUCCUCCUUUUCCUGAAGAUCAGCAAUGGAUGCUUCAACCUCCUCCAGGCGUCUGAAGAUACCACCCACCACUUCUCACUUCCAUCUUCAUAGUCUCCGCUUGGUGAGCUGUAGUUUUUGGGUGACCCUCCGCAUAGCAUCCCCUUGCAUCAGAGCCCCUCAUGCCCCCAGAUGAUGUCCCAAGACUGAGGACACGACAACCACUUCUUCUCAAACCGGAACAUGUUGUGAUAACAAGUGAUGAAGAUAGUGCUAAUCAAGAUAGGGCAAUGAUACAAUGCGAUCUGGAAAAAGUGACAAACUUGAUAGGUGGAAAAGCACUGGAUCCAACUAGCAGAAGUCGUGACCCUAUCAAUCCUCUCCCACACUUUGGCACGACCCAAUCGGUUGUUGCACUAGGUGAACCUCGGUCCUGAGAAUCCAAAAUCCACCAACAUAUUCGCUAUCAUAAAGUCACGAAACUCUCUUCUUUCUACCUUAUCCAUGUAGGCCUUGCCUCCUCUCUUCUCCAUGGCCCUCUAGAUUUAAUUGAAGUCACCAGCAACCAAGGUCGGAAUACCCUCUACAACAAGGUUAGUCACCUCUCCCCAAAGAGCCCUCCUCACUCUGUAGUCAGUAUUGGCAUACUCACCCACAAAAUCCAAGGAAGUUCAUUAGGUUUUAAAAUUAUCAUUACAACCUGCUGGGGACAGUUAUGGAAAACAUCCAUCAUGGCUACACCCUACUUCUAUAGAACAAUUAUUCCCCCAGACAAGCCCUAUGAUUUGAUGGCAUGAGAAUCCCAGGUUACUGAAACCGAUGCUAUGUUCGAAGAAGGCUAUCUCCAGAGAGUCAUAUCUCACACAAAAAAUAGAUGUCCAGGCCAUGCACUUGAAUCAGUCUCCUAAAUGAGGUAGUGAAGUAGGGCUUGCAGGCCCCACUGUAAUUCCACACAAGUAUUUUCAUUCAUCUACACGAGACAAAGGGGGACCCUGCUAACCGCUCAAAGUCUCCUUCCCAGAUUUCUCAUGUUGGACCAACCCACUACAAGAGGCCCCAUCCUUCAUCCCCAGUAGCAGAGCUAACUUUGCCCUCCUCACCACUAUAGUGUGUUCCCCCAUAACGGUGGGAGAAGGUUGGUCCGACUGCCCCCCAACCAGUCCACACCCACUAGUUACCUCCCUGUCGGCUUGCUCUAUCGCCGCCGACCACCAAUCUAGCUCCAACACCUCUUGGACCACUAGUUUGCCACCCACGGAAGGGGCCAACCCCAAUGAGACCCCAGAAAUCAGAGUAGAAGCCUCGAGCAAUGCUAGAGGAGAGCCAAGGUUCACCGAAAACAAAGGCUCGGUUGCCAAAGUUGUCCUCGAUGCCUCCACGAAGGAUGAAGCCUUGCUCGGCUCCCACUCGCCACUAGGGCCCUGCCCGCGCUCCUUAACAAGCUCGACCACUCGGGGCACGCUAGACCCAGUAGUCGAAACAACCCGAUUCGUGCCAUAGGACCAACCCAAGCUCUCGCGCGCAGGCCCACGCCUGCCCCUUCGAUCACUAGGCUUCUGGGCCUCUUGAGGUUUGCGUGGCCCAAGCCCACAUCCACCAUCACGACUUCUGGGCUAGCUUGCACGUUGCCUGGCCCAGCCUCGCCAGCCUCCUCAGCCGAGUCAGCCAAAUCACUUAGUGGAUCGAACCCUGACCCGGUUCGAAGCCCUGCCCGAGUCGCCUCAAGGCUCGGUCAACACCACUUCGCCCACCCAAUCCUUUGGGGGUGAAUACCGGCACACAACCUUCACCAGCUUCUGGCAACCAUCUGAGUCCGGCGGCAAGCCAAGGGAGCUUGGACGGUUGGGAGGAGAGAUCGGCCAUGAAGAUGAUGAACCUGACCCUGAUGAUUCUGGGGUUGACUUGGUCAUCUUCUUUGACUAUGGCGGCCCCUUCAUAUCCCUUAGCGGUCGAAUCUUUGUAGUCGCUAGCCAAAGGCCAAAAAUUGGCCUCCAAGCAAGCUCAUCAGAGCUGGAAUUAGGUUCGUCAUGGACCCCCUGGUCUCCAGUCGCCUCCACCACCAUGGGAGCCGGCGACCUCGAACGCUCCAGUGGAUCCUUGACCUCCGGCACCAAAAACUUGCAAUUAUUGCCCGCAAUGGUAGCAGAAAUCUGAGACAUUUUUGUAGACGAAUGGAUCCCAUAAGACCCCAUUUCUUCCCUUGAUUUGGAUACAUGGCGCUAAUGACUCAGUGGCAUCGAUGGCCACCUUAACCCUUGCGAACCCCAUCUUCCUCUACUGGUCGCUGAUGCCAUCAAAGACCUGUAGAUGACCUACUACAGAAGCGAUCUAUAAGAUCGUCUCCUUCUCCUAGAAUUCCACCGAGAGUUUCGGCAUCUGAAGCUACACCAACAUCGAUUUGACGACGUUCCAGCCCAGAACAUAGUCGAGAGCCUAUGGCUCCAUCGCUAGCAAUUGCCCUGCCACCACCUAAGGGUUGCCAGAGAGGGCUUUGUCUCGGUUAGCCUCCGAUUUGAAUGUCACCGCUAUAUGGUCGUUAGCAAGAGGAAAAACCUCUACCUCGUACUAAAGCUUCCCGCGCGCCACCACCUCUCGAGCCACCCACUCCGCUGGAACAUGACGGCCCAAGCUCUUGAUGAUAACUACCAAGUUUCUUCCAAACCUAAAAGAUCUUAUUGCAAUAAAAUCAAGCUUUAUAAUUGCAAUUUAAGAGAGCACCAUGUUGCCAGAAUUUGUAGCAAUGUGGCAAGUUGUUUAAAAAGCAACAUCUAAAGCAUCAACAACUAAUUUGGUUAUAACUAAGGUAGCGAAGAAAAAUGAAGUAAAUAGGGGAUCCAGGGGUCCAGGAGUGCUGGUGGGGAGAUGCGACUACCACAUGACAUUCGCCGCCUGUUAGGUGAAUGCGCUUCCCACAAAGCUACUCAUGUUUACAGAGAGGCCAACAGUGCAGCUGAUUGGGUGGCCUCCUAUGCGGCUCAUCACUCAAGCGAGUUUGUUUGGGUGGACCAAGUUCUGUCUUCCUUGCAGUCUCUUUUACAUUCUGAAUCUUUGGGUGACACUCACACCCGUUGUAUGUGAGUCGCCGAUAUACCAAAAAAAAUGAAGUAAAUGAAAAACCUUCAACAAAGUGGAGCAAUAUAUAUAGAGAGAGAGAUAUGAAGAUGGCAUCAUGGAAUUAGGCAUCUUGAUGCUAUACAACAUGAGCUAUUUUUGAUGUGUUUGUUCCUCCAUACCAUGCAUAUUUAUCCAUGCCUGUGCCUCUCAAACUGGGCUCGGGUAUGUCAUUGACCUGACCCAAGCCCGGCCCAAAUCCGAGUUUGAACAGGACCCAAAAUGGAGCCGGAAUUUUGUCUCGAAUCAAUUUGUUUUUGUAUGUUGUUAUAUAGAGAAGAUAAUAAGAAAGUAAAUAAUAAAUUAAAAUAAGUUUAGCUGAGAUUAAUAUAUUAUGUGUCAUUUACUUGUAUUAUAGAAGAAAACCUAAUUUUUAAUUAGCUUAUUUACUUGUAAAGCAAUAUUAUGAAAUAUUAAACUUCAAUCGGGUUUGAGUCGGGUUUGGGCCAGAAUUAUCCAAAAAUUUUCAGGCCUAAGCGUGGCUCGAAGCCUGAAAAAAAUAGUUCAAAUUUGGAUAGGGCAUGCUCCAGCCCGAAUCACUUGUAGCCCUAAGCUGAAUGCAUGUAGAGCUUAUAGGAUUGAGUAUUAAAAAAAAGAGAGUUUAGAUUCAAGGCCUCACCUGGAUCAGCUCUAAAUGCGUAGAACAUGAAGCGGUCCCUAACAGGAGCAUUUGGAGAAAGAAAAAUAGUUAUAGUAUAAAAGAACCAAUAAUACUCAAGAUUGCAAAAUUAAUAUAUUGGCUCUUUAAAGCCGGUAAUCAUAAAAUUUAGAAGACCAUUUAUGCAUAUUCUAAAAAUAAAAUCUGGAACCUUGUAUAGCUAAAUAGUUCCUUUUCUAUGGCAUAUCAAUGAAAAACAAUCUAACCAUACAAGAAAAAUAUCCUAAUACAAAUAUAAAUUUAUUGCGAUACGCACAAGAAAAUAUAUAUUUUGGAAGUUUCUUUAAUUUAGAAAAAUUGAAUAUAUAUGUAUAUAUAUUAUAUAAUUAUUUGCUUUUUAAAAUUUAUAAAUAUUAUAUAAAAUUAAAUAGAGUUAUAAAUAAAAUUAUAUUUUUAAAUAAAAAUUGGAUGGUUGUUUAUUUAUAUUUAUAUCCAUUAAAAUAGAUAUAGAUAUAAAUAUUAAAAUGAAUUGGAAACUCAAAUUUUUAUCCCCAUCGUACCAGUCACGCGCUUUGCACGCGCGUACAAAUACAAUUACGACGCUAUCACUAUCAGCCCCGUGGGCUCCAAACAGACUCCGCAGCUUCGAUCGCAGUAGGUUGCCUUCCCCCUUCCGCUCUUUCAAACCCUAACUCCCAAAAUUUUGAAAGCAACCAGAGAUCACAAGGUUUUCGUCACCUUUUUGUCCCGCAGGAGGCGAGAUAAGGAAGGAGGAGGCGAGUUGAGGGGAGAUGGGCGGCGGCGGUGUAGAUCACCACCAUGGUGGCGCGCAUGGCGCGGAGGACUUCCGGACCAAGGUGUGGAGCAUGACGGGCGGGCCCUACUGCCGCCCCAAACACUGGAAACGGAACACCGCCAUCGCCAUGUUCGGCAUCUUCCUUGUUUGCAUCCCCAUCGCCAUGAAGUCCGCCGAGCUCGAGGUUCUUCCCCUUUCUUCUUCUCCUACGUUUUUUUUAAUUUCUUGAUCUAGGGCAUCAUCCGUGAAUAAAUCCGAUUUACUGGCAUUGUUCAUGAUCUUUCCCUCUCUAAGAUGGGAUUAUUUGGGGCAUUUCUUGUUAAAGUUUUUAUCUUUUGAUUGGACUAUAGCCUGGGGGGUAGCAAUCUGAUAAAAAAAGACCCUUUUUUUCCAUUCAAGGAUAUUUAAUUGUCUAAAAACAUUACCUGACUAUGUUACUGGGUUGGACAUUUCUGGUUCUAUUCAAACUCGAAUAACGUAAUGAAGUUCUUCCAGCACCCCCACCACGCCACCAAAAGUGGGCAUUUUAGUGUGUUGUCAUGUUAAAUCUCGGUUCUGAUAAAUGGAGAGGAUUCGUCUAGGGUACCCGUUGAAGCUUAUAACUUGUGGCCGGUCAAGACACCGGCUCAAGUGUGGGGAUAUUGAAACACCUGACAAGACUAAUCAUGUAUGAUUCUUCAAUAUUCAAGUGCUGAUUUUCCUGUUACAUUUGACAGUAAACCUUAUCUUAUUGUUAUUAGCCUUCUGUGCGAUGAGUUUGGGUAUGAGAAAUACUCUAGACAACUUUCAUGAACAUGAGGGUAAAGAGUUAUGAUGCCAAAGAUUGGGAAAAUAUCUUAUUGAAAAAGAAAGAAAAAAGAAUGGGACAAUGAGUCCUACAUAAUGAAUAUAAAUUAGACAGAUAAAUUUAAGAUGUCAAGUUGGGAACUGGCAUUCAGACUUUCUUGUAUUCUGACAGAUCAUCCAAUACAGAAGACAGGAAUGCUUUGUUGGUGGAGAUCUAUAUAUCUAGUUUUUAAGAAAUAGGAAAUAUUUUUUUUUAUAAUUUGUACACUUAAUUCUGCUUGUUUGGUUAGACAAACAUGGAGUCAUUGAAAUAUUAUUAAUUUUGCUUCAAACCCUGUUGACUUUAUCGUAGGGAGGUUUUAGGGAUGAAUGGAUUAGCAAACUUAAGGUGAAGUGUAUACAAAUUUAAUAAAAAAAUAUAGUCUCGACUUUUAACUUUUUACCCUUUAUCCUACCAUAUGUUAACAGGAAAAGAGAAACAAAAAUGACAAAGCCAGUCCCAAACAAAUGGUCUUAUAUGGAGAGGACCUCUAAGUCUAGAAGGUGUGAUAAAAUGGUUAGAAAGAUCGCCUACAAAUUAUACUAACAUUUCCGACUUAUGCCGGCAAUUAACUGGGGGCAGUCUGGGUAUUUGAGAAAAAAAUUAUAAGAAACAUUUUUUAAUAAUUUUUGGCAACUUGCAGAAUAUGUAUCUAAUUUCUAAGAUAUUCUGAACUUCUUAUUUUUAUUUUGCAGAAUAUAUCUUAUCCUUGAGAUAUUUCAAAAUUACCUUUAAAUUUUUGUUUGAAUCAUGACUUUGAUUAUGCUAGCAAUAUAAGCAAACAUCGUUUGAUGCAAGGUUCGCCGUACCGGUACCGAUAGGCAUACCGGUCGCCUACUAGACCGGUAUGGUUCCGGUUCGUACCGGUUUAAAUCGGUACCNNNNNNNNNNNNNNNNNNNNNNNNNNNNNNNNNNNNNNNNNNNNNNNNNNNNNNNNNNNNNNNNNNNNNNNNNNNNNNNNNNNNNNNNNNNNNNNNNNNNNNNNNNNNNNNNNNNNNNNNNNNNNNNNNNNNNNNNNNNNNNNNNNNNNNNNNNNNNNNNNNNNNNNNNNNNNNNNNNNNNNNNNNNNNNNNNNNNNNNNNNNNNNNNNNNNNNNNNNNNNNNNNNNNNNNNNNNNNNNNNNNNNNNNNNNNNNNNNNNNNNNNNNNNNNNNNNNNNNNNNNNNNNNNNNNNNNNNNNNNNNNNNNNNNNNNNNNNNNNNNNNNNNNNNNNNNNNNNNNNNNNNNNNNNNNNNNNNNNNNNNNNNNNNNNNNNNNNNNNNNNNNNNNNNNNNNNNNNNNNNNNNNNNNNNNNNNNNNNNNNNNNNNNNNNNNNNNNNNNNNNNNNNNNNNNNNNNNNNNNNNNNNNNNNNNNNNNNNNNNNNNNNNNNNNNNNNNNNNNNNNNNNNNNNNNNNNNNNNNNNNNNNNNNNNNNNNNNNNNNNNNNNNNNNNNNNNNNNNNNNNNNNNNNNNNNNNNNNNNNNNNNNNNNNNNNNNNNNNNNNNNNNNNNNNNNNNNNNNNNNNNNNNNNNNNNNNNNNNGAUGUUCGUGCAAUCCGAAAUCUGGGGACGCGGCCUCGGCCUCCGCCGGGCCCUCGCGGGCUCUUCCGCCCCCCUGCUGGCUCCGCUGCCCCCCCUCGGCCUCUGCUGGCCUCUCGCGGCCCUCCGCGGGCGGCGAAGGCCUCUCCUCCCUCCCUUUCUUUUCCGCUUUCUCUCUCUCCUCUUCGUCUUCUCCGGCUCUGACUGGGUUCGGCUCGUACCGAUUUCCAUGGCUCCGGCCUACCAGUUACACACCGGAUUGUAUUACAAAUGCCUGUUCCACUGGUACCUUACUAUUUUCAAUAUAUCUCCACAUUUUGUAAAUUCUUUAGUGAACAAGCUAGCUAGCUUCAUAAUUAAAUCUUUUCCCAAUCUCUAACAACAACAAAAAACCCAUCUUUUAACAUGCUGAAACUGGAGCAUCACUUAUUUGAAAGAGAUUAGCAAUGCAGGUAACUAGAUGCCAAUUAAUCUUAUUAUUUAUCCAUAUAGCUUUUUCAAUUUGUAUUUAGACUUGAAAUUCGAAACUGUCAACCUAUCUUUGUAUGUGGGAAGGGCUUGAACUUUCUAAGGUGUCCUUACACUGGUUAACACCAUCCUUCUCGAAUAAGACCUUCACAAGUAUAGUCAGUGAUUUAUGCAACUGUUUGAAUGUUUAAUAUAUAGGCGGACUAAGUAGAAUUAUCUUUCUAGACCAUCUAAUUAUGUAUAUAUGAGUUUAAGACAUGCUUCAAGGUUUUAAGUUCUAGUGGGAUGGGGUAAGUCCCAGCCGUCCUAUCUCGUUCUUGCAAGAAAACGAGAUUGGGACAAGGUCGGAACUCCGAAACUCAUCCACGUGGGGAGAGAAGAAGAAAGAGGAAAGAAAGAACGGAAAGAAAGUUAAAGAAAAGGAAAAAGUGAAAAGGAAAUAAGAAGAAGAAAAGGAAGGAAAUAAAGAAAGUGAUGAGAAAAAGAAAGAAAGGAAGAGAUGAGAAAAAGAAAGAAAGGAAAGAGAAAAAAGAAGAAAAGGAAAUAAUAAAUAAAGGAGGGAUAAAAAAUUAAAAAAAAUGAAAGGAAUAAAAGGAAGGUAGAAGGAAAAGAAAGAAAGAAAGGAAGGUAGAAGGAGAAAAAAGAAAGGAAGGAAGAAAAAGAAUGAAAGAAAGAAAGGAACGAAGAAGGGGAGAGAGAUGAAGGAUAUCCACCGGGAUGCAUGACUGGGACCGUUGUCGGGAUGGUGCCGGAUAUUUUGUUCCAUGGAGAAAUAAUGACACACCCAUCCCACGGGAUUUAAAAUUUUGACAUGCUUGAUGUCUAAUAGUCAUCGAUCCAAGUUAAUUGACCUUCUCAGAAACCUUUCAGGUUAGUAAGAAUAUUAAAGUUCCGCAAGAAACCACCUGUCGUGCUGCCACCCCCAACUAAAAAAGAAAAAACUAUAGUUUUGCUUAUCUACCUUUAUUUGGUGGCCAUAUUUUUUUUAAUAUUGGCGAACACCAUUAAGCAUCUAAUAUUUGUCUUGGGUUGUAAACAUCUUAAUAUGUCAUUAAAAUUUUAUCCAUAAUUUUUGGAUAAUUAUAUUUGAUUGUCAACAACUAAAUAACCAACUAUUAGAACAAAGCAAAAUAAAUAUUCUGGAAGGGUCUUGCACCUUAAGUAUAUUUAGCCACUUUGUUCCAAACAUUCAUCUUUAUCAAUGGCUCUCUCAUUGAAAGCUACUAUAUACAAUGAUUUAGUAUAUUUUCUUCUUAAUGGUGUUAAGCCCCAGCUUACUUUAUAAUUUGUCCCAUAUCCCAUUGCCCUUAUGAAUUGCUCAAUUUCUUACUAUCACUAUUGUGUUUAGUCUUUGGCCUACAGAUUUCCAUAGUAUAGUCGUGUAUUUAUUUUCUUUUUCUCACAUAACUUAGAGGCCUCACCACAUCCCUAAUAUGUGGCCCGAUAUCAUGAAAGGCAUUAUUAUUGUUUUAUCAUAAUACAGUCCUUAUGAUAUUGUCCAGCCAUUUGCUAGUUCAGCGUGACAUUAAGCAGGCUUUGCCCUAGCCAAUAUGCGUAGAGUAUUCUUGCACGAAAAACAACUGUUUUGGCACUUCCAUCACCAUUUUACCUCACGAUGCACCCAAAAGCACAAGGAGUAUCUCAUUUGCUUUAGGGCCCAUUCUUUGGUGGGUAAAUAUCAUGGGAAAGUUGGUUAACUUUUCCAUUAAGCAACCCAUGUUCUCAUGCUUCUCUAGCUAAGUAGUUUUCCAUGGGUAGCAUUUAUCCAUAAAAUGGGUGAAAGUUUUACCCACCUAGGGGUGGGUAAGUCAUUUUUCCAUCAGUCAUUUUUCUAUAAAAUGGAUACAUCUUAACAAGUUAGCCAGGAAAGUAGUAAUGUGAAAGAACAUGGGUAACAGAUUCCGAGGCAAUUUUUCAAUGCAUAAAAGAAUAUGGGUGAAUUAUUUUUUUGUCUAAAAUAUUUAUCUAUUAAAAUAUAGUCUCGGGUAAGUUUUUACCCUCCAAAGAACGGGCUCUUAAAGUGAAAUGUAUAGUCGCUGAGUGUACGGCCUAUCAUUAGCAAUUGAAUUUAAACAUAAAUAGAUAGUCUAUCUUAUGACUUCAGUACGCGCACAAAUCAGCAUUCCCAUCUCUUUUGCAUCUUCUCUUGAUCCAUGAUUGACCUGGUGGACCAACUUUGGUUGCUCUUGAUCUCAAUAAAACUGGUUCAAUCAUUGGAUGUUGCAAGUAAAAUGAGUUAGACAUUGGCAUUGUUGACUUAACUACUCUAUAGAUGCUUCAUGGUUGACAAAAUCCUAGAUAUGAUCCUAUAGGUUCUUUAUGAAAUUGAUGAUUUUAUGUGCAUUAUUGAACAUCAAUAGUCUCUAAGGAGCUUUUUGUUAUUGCCCUAUCAACUCAUAACCAUAGCCAUUACCAUCUAGCCUUAUCCCAACUAUUUGGGUUUAGCCUUAAGGAUUCUGAUUCAUUAAAAUUCCUAUUUAGGGCCACCAUUGAUGUUAUUUCAAGGUUGUCAUAGGUGAUCAGCAAGAUUGUCUCGCCUAAGAGCUUGGGCAACCCUAUCGCCUAAGUGCUAAGCGUUUUCCAGGUACUAGGCAUGAAAAUUACGUAGACACCUAAGCUGGUGCCUAGAUGGGUGCCUGGUCACCUAUAGGCCCUUUUCCUAUAGGAUGAAAGUAUAUUCAUGAUAUUAUUGAUCACUUUGUUUACUAUGUAGCAAGGUGGAGCAUAUUUAAUGAGCAUUGGAGUGUAUUUAUCAAAAUAUGUAUCAAAGUACUUUAAAGAUUGUUUCAUUUCUUGAUUCUAGACAUUUAUACUUGGUGUUCCCUCAUCCAUCUAAUGACAAUCCCCCAUCUAUUUGUCCUCUCUUAGCUAUUUUUGGUUGUCAACAUGUUCUUGAAGAUUUUGGUUGAUGUUAAAUCACGUUAUGAAUAGCUUAAGUAGUUAACAAACAAGCUUUUACCAAUAUGACGUGUGCUUCCUAUGAACUAAAUAUACGCAUUUGUCAUAACUUGAAAAUUAAUGAAUUUUUGGGCAUCUUUUUGUCUCCAGGUGCUUGCCUAGUGUAUUGACAACCUUGAUUUCAACCUUUUGGAUAUCUUUGCCCCCAACAACUUAACACUUGUGUUACCUCAAGUUUUGCAUCCUUUUCUCAUAUCCUUCAAUAUGAAUUGAAGUAUCCCUUCUUAUUGAGGCCCCCUCAAAUCUUUGUUCUACAUGCUCGUACCAUUUCAACCGAUCCUUUACUACUUUGUAAUUUGUGUAAUGCUUAUAAUUCCUGUAUUCUCAAUUCUCACUCUUUCCUUGCUGAUUUUAGUACAAAUCCAUCUUGACAUUUUCAUUUUUGCAGCACUUGUUUUCUUGGCCCCUUUUUAUUGCGAACAUUUGAGCCAUACAACAUUGGGGCCUUAUCAUCAUUUAUUUUUUAACUAAAUUGCAAUUUCAUGUACUUUAUGUUUGUUUCUUGAGUUUUUAAGUCCUUAUUAUUUAAAUGUUUCUUUCGUAAAUCCAAUUUAUCAUUUAACCUUGUUCUUUUCUCAUCAAUCAAUAUUAUGCCAUCUGCAAACAACAUAUAUCAUGAUACAAUUUCCUUAAUAUUAUCUGUGUGGUCUUUUAUAAUUAGUGUAAAAGGAUACAAAUUAGUGCUCAUUCUUGACGCAAGCAUAAUGUGACUGGAAAUACGCUAGACGAUCCUCAAACAUACAUGUCCUCAAUGAUUUUAAUGUGUCUUGUAUGUAUAUCCUUUUUAAAGACCAUCAAGUAAACUUUCUUGGUACCAUAUCAUAAGCUUUCUCCAAGUCAGUAAAGACCGCACAUAAAUAUUUCUCUUUGCUACAUAUCUUUCUGUCAAUUGCCUAUUUAUUGUUGACCUUGCUAUUAUAAAUCCAAAUGGUUUCUUUAAGAUCAUCAUGAUCUCUCUUAAUCUUUGCUCAAUUACCCUUUACAAUAACUUUAUAAGUUUGAUUCUCUGACAUUUAGAGCAAUUCUGUGCAUCAAUGUUAUUCUUAUAGAUUGAUAUUGCAGUACUUCUCCAAUCAUCGAUUAUCCUAUUGGUUUCCAAAACCGCAUUAGAUGUUAGUAAGCUAACCUAAUGUAGCACAUGAUUUUCCAAACUGCAUUAGGCAAAUCAUCUAGAUCUAAUGCCUCACCCUUUUGCAUUCUUUUCAAAUCUAUCUGCACUUCAACUUCAUGAGUUGUACUAAUAGAACCUAGAUAACCCCCUAAUUUUACCUUUUCAAUACAAAUUUUUUUAGUGGAAUCCUAAUUUAAUAAAUUUUAAAAAUAAAUAUCCUGAUUGUUCUUUAAUUUCAUCGUCUUUCACCAAAUUUCUUUUAUCCUCGCUCCUAAUGCAUUGAUUAAUAUAUUUAGAUAAUUCACUUAUUUUAGUUAUUUUAUGAAUUUCAUUCUUAUCUUCUCUUGAAGCCAAUUUAUGGUAUAACUUAUUAUACCCUGCAUAUUUAGUCUUACUAACCAUUUUUCUCUAUCUACCCUCUUAAUGCAAUUGGCUACUGAUCUUGCAAUCUAUGCAGUUCAGUGGAUCAACCCAUUUAGAAUAUGUCUCUUGUUGAGUCCAGGCUGAAACUGUCCCAUCUGAUGAUUCAUAUACACUUAAGGGGCCUGGUUUCAUCUGUGGGACAUGCCAUUCUUUUGCCAUCUGAUCUGUGUUAGCCUUUAGCUCCUUGGUCAUGUUGGGAUAUCUUACCCACUCAUGUUAGAAGCAUCUUGUUAGCUUAAAUAAGAAAUUUAUUUGUCCCAAAAUAAUUAAAAUAAGUUGAUAAAAUAAUGCCUCCAUGCACAUCAUGCAUCCCAAAGAACUAAUUGGAAUUACUAUGCACUGCUAUUAGUAGUGCAUCAGGCUAGUAAUUUGGAGUAAAGCAUGCCAGUAUUUUUACUGAUGCACUUUCGGAGGACUGCCCAAUGAGGAUCGAGGAAAGCAAAAUAGUGGCAACAUCUAUGUUCUUGCAACCUGAGAGAUCAUUUGGUUAGAGUGCUCAGCCAAGUUUAGACUCUAUGUUUGGCUGUUCUGGAGGUUCCGUAUAAAUUCUUUCUCCCUUCUUUAAAAUAUUAUUUUAAGACAAAAGGGGUGUGAACUUUGUUAUGGAAGAUUUCAAUCUGUGCUUGUUGUUUCAUCAAAAUUCAGGGCUACCUGAACGCAUUGUUGUAUUUUUGGCACUUAAAGAUUUGAGAUGCGCAUGCAUAAUACAUUGUAAAGCAACUGUUUUGAGGAUGUCUUAGGAGUGACAUGCCAAUGUCUGAGACGAUUCAGGAUUUGUUUCUACUUAGUUAUCCUUAAUUAAAAACUUAUAAGGAAAACAAAAUUUUGCUAACAUUGGGGAAGCUACAGCAGCUGCAGCUAGCAUGCAUGAAAAGCUUUUAGCAAUUAAUAACUUAAGAAGAGAUGACAUAACACUGCUCUUUUUUAAUGCGGAGAUGUAAUGCUUCUGUAGGUUUGCUCCUUUUUUUCGGUUCAUAUAAAUAUAUAAGCUACCCUGUUGACAUUGUUGAUGUCAAAAUGUCUGUCCAGUGGAAGCUACCCUUUUCUGUUUGGCGAGGGAGGUGUUGGGCGGGUGGCUGGAUACAGUUGCUUUUGGAUCAAUCCCUUUUACUAAAAAUAAUAAACAAGGUACACAAUAGUGGAAACUGCUAAAGAAAUCCCACCAAAAAAGGGACCAGUAUUACAAAAAUUAAACAGGACCUGCAGGGGAAAUAUGCAAGACAUCCUGGAUAAAUAUUUGUCAAGAUCUUCUGAAUAGCAACUAGGCAUGAUUUAAUUAAUUUGUCUUCCCAUGCUUCCACCAAUCUUCAUGUGCAUACAACCAUACAACCUUGGCCCGCUCGUUAUCAUAAGUUUCACAUGCAUUCUGCUGUUUCCCAUUCUGUCACCACGGUGUGAGGAAUCUAAAUUAAUGAAUUUAAUCAAAAUCCAAAGAAAUCCUAUGUGAUGCUUGGGAGCGUGAUAAUGGGUUUCCUGACAACUACAGCUUUAGGUUUUGUUAGGCGCUAUGGUAUUUGACGUAUGUGGGAAUAUCUUGCUGCUGAAAUUAGUUCUUUUGGUAGGAGACUUUUCUUUCCCUCCUUUCCCAAAAAGCCAUCUUAAGGGUAAAAUUUGUUUGUUUGCAGAGAUGUUAAAUGGAUCCAAGAUCGUGCUAUUUCCUUUUGUGCAAAAAGUCUUUACAUCUCACUUUAUUUAAAACCUAUGUUUCCAUUCCACAUCUUGUUAAUAUUCUUCAAUCAUUUGUUACUCUACUGGCUGUCAGUUCUAGAACUUUCAGUUUUUGUGAUGUACUAAGCUCUCGGGUUUCCCUUUUACUUGCAGCAACGGCCUCACCAUCCAGUUCGUCCCAUACCUUCACAGCUUUGGUGCAAAAACUUUGGUAAUAAAGAGUAUUGAUUUGUUAGUCUGGUGAAACUUCCAUGGUUGGGAUGCUAUCCCUUUUUGUGUGAUCGUUGUAUUAUGUGCAAUUCGGCACCUAAUGCUGGAAUAAGGAUGCAGCUAAUACAUAAUGUGUUUAUUUGUGCUUGUUUUGAACAUUUGGUGCCGGUGGUAGUAGUUACAGAACGAAUAAGAAAGUUGUGCUUCUUUUGCAUGGCAAUAAAUUAAAGGGAGUUCAUGCUUCAUUUAUUUGUGCUGAAAAAUUGUUGCUGGAGUUGGUUCAUUCAUUGGAGAUUGCAAAUGUGCAAAAAGUCUCUACAUCAUGCAUGUAUUAUGUGUUUAGAAUAUCUUUUUAAAAGCUUCGUGUUUUCCUCUAGAUUGCAACGUCUUCCAUGAUUUAUUAUAGUUCCUUCUGUGGCCAGUUUCAAGGGAGUAACAUCCUGGAGUUAACAAAGUCUUUCAUGAUUUAGGAUGGUUUUUGUGGCCAGUUUUCAGGGAGCUAAAUCUAACAGAACUUGGAUUGGUUCUUUUCACAAUCAUGUAUAAUGCAAGAUUGCUGUUUUUGUUCUAUUCUCUUAGAGCAUCACAUCUUUUAAGAUUUAGAGUUAAAUGAAAAUUCAGUUACCUGCAAUAUUUGUAGAUCAGCAGCGGUGAGCAUGCGAUUGGAUCAUGUCGUGCAUAACAUUGCCAAGAAUAGACCACGUUGAUUAGAUCCAAAGGUCAAGCCUCCUUCUAACAUGACCUAGAAUUUUUAUGCAAAAAACAGAAACGAUGGUGCAAGUAAUGAUGCAACCACGAGCAGUUUUAGAAUAUUCAUGAUGAAGAGGAUUGCUAACUACUCGAUUUGAAAAGAGGUAAAAGGACCUCAGCUGGAAAGGUAGGAAAUCCGAGAUCUUUUGGAUGUGCGAGAGGAGUUCUGUCAAGACAACGAAAACAUCGGUUUAAUUAAAGUACCAGAAUCGAAAAAAAUCCUUUUUUUCAGUUUAUUUAUACUGGUUUUAAUCUGAUUAUAAGCAGAUCAGAUUCAUUUAGCCUGACCUGCAUUUAGGGAGGCUCUACCCCUUGCCUGCAAUGAAUGGGAGCUUCUAUAAACUCUGAAUGUAUCACAUUUUCGUAUGAUGUAAUGUUGUGGGAUACUCAACCACAGCAUGGUUGCAUCCAGUGCUGAUCCUGUCCGCGUUGAUAACAAUACUUGCGGCAUGGAAGAAAUAUUAAGGGAGAGUAGCCCCGACACCUUUUUACUCCAAUUACGUGUGCCACCAGUACAAAAGUGAUGAUCGAAUUCACACACGUCCACACGAACGAACUUCAACAAGGUGGGCAUAGUCACAAACCAGUGCAAAAAAAUAUUUCGGCCACAAACAUGAAGAAAAUGGUAUGGAUUGUACAAAAUAGAACCAGGAGUAGAAGCAAGAGAUAAUGGCAGCCAAAAAAGUUUAUUGCGGCCAAAAUUAUGCACUAUUGGAUACCAGGGUUCUACAAGUGCCCCACAAGAUCAUUGAAUGCAUAACCUCGGGUAAUGUUGCUGCAUCUUAGCAAUCAGGAUUACUUCACUUGACACAGGCUAAUUACGGGCAAUGCUAGCAAUUUCACAGCUGCAACCUUCCUACGGAAGUGAUAAUUUGAUACUUUUUUCUUUACCUGUCCGAUAAUGUAGAAAGGACUCAUAAUAGCUGCCUGGGGAGUGUAAAAUCUCUCAUAUGGCUACAAGCCCAUUAUGUAACAAAAUAUGCAUUUGAUUUUUUUUUUUCUUAAGCUGGAUAGUAUAUUAUUGCUUUUCUAUAUUGAACCUCGGUUCUUUUUUUUCUUUUGCGAUGUGCUUACAAAUUUUACAAAAUAUUGAUCAAAAACACAGAAAAGAUAUGCAUUUUACACGAAUAAAUGAUUAUAUGUCCCUUCUGCUUUUACUACAUUGAGACUUCAAAAAAUCAACUCCGUGUCAUCUGGACAAAGUUGCCGCAGUAAAUUCAAAAUGUGAUCAGUCAUCAAUCAAAAAGCAAAAUGGUCUCUCUUUUUCCACGUCAAUCAUCAAUGUCAUGAACCCAUGAUAAAUCUGCCACAAAAAAUAGUUUUUUUUUAAAGAAUGGAUGAUCAGAGCAAUAGUUAAGAUAAUGAAAUAUCUGUUCACGUGAAGAACACGACCUUUUAAGAUAUCAUGGCCUAAACAAAAACCAAGAACAACGAACAAUUACUAUCUUUAGGUCAUCUCUUUAAAAAAUUUCAAUUGAACUCUUAUCCAUCUUCAUGAAUUUAAAGCAUACAAGGACCAUAAAGUAGCUGUUCUGUCAUUAACAUUUCCUAUGACGCAAACGUAAAAAUUUUCAUUUCCAAAGGCAUUUCUUCCCAAGUUUUAAUUCUAAAACCUCACAAAUAAAAAUGAAACAAUAUGCAUAAUUCUAGCAAGAUAUACUACCACGCUGCACACGUCGAAAAUUUAGAUGUCUAAAGCAACCACUGUUAUUGAUGACAAAAUUAAAACAAGAAUUAUAUGAGUUUCUGUUAUGCAAGAAAAGGCAACUAUUUUUCUGUAAGUCUAUAUUUAGUCUUCUACAUAUGCAUUAGUUUAUUACACUCAAAAAAUUUAACAAAUUUCAAUCAAGCAUCAUCAAUAAAUAUUUUAUAUCUAAAUGGAUGGUUAAUAAAUAAUUUGUAUUUAAAUAAAGAACAAUCUAUUUAAGUAUUGAACUCAUGUAUAUGUUGUUAAGACCCAUUGUCUUGCUAAAGCCCAUGAAAAAUGACUAUUUUUUGAACAAAAAUCUUGACUAAAUAAAGUUCAUCUUAUUAUGUUAUGAUAUUGUAAAGAUUCAGCCUAAUUUUGUGAAAAUUUGUUCAAAAUUACUAUCCACUCGCUGCUAGUGGGUUUAGGAUGAAAUCAAUGGAACAAUCAUAACUAAGACAAAACACCUCCAGAUCAAAUCACUUCCAUUGUGGAUAGGCUUGCGAUGUUCAAUGAUGAGAGUGAAAGAAUCUGAAUGUGAUGGAAACAAGUUAAUUUUAACUUGGUCCACAGCUCAAACAUUGACACAACCCAUUCAUGUGAAUGAAACCAUAUACUCAGCUGAAACUACUAAAAAGAUGAAGUUGGGGCUGAAACUCAUUUAAUACCUUCAUGGUAUUUUUAUAUACAACUUUUAAUCAUCAAAUCAAAAAUAAUAUGGUUUCACAGAAACAAAAUACUCCAAAGAAAACUGGAAAGCAUGCUAUGAUGAUCAGUUGGGGGUCCUAGGUCUAUAGAUUAAAAAAUUGAUGGUACAGUAUUUUUUUCUUAUUAUAUGUAUUAUUGAGUAAAACAUCCAUGUUCUAGUUGACGAAAAUAAUGCUUGCAAAUUUAAGAUUUUAAUACAGCUUAAACAAACCUUGCAGCACCGUUUCAACUGCUGCAUUUGGAAUAAGAAGCCCAACAAUGCGCUGAUUAUCAGUAGUAGUCUCUAAACGGACAACACGUAUCCGCUUAUGGCUUUGGCGAGCCUGUUAAAAUUGUCAAACAAUCAUUAUACAAGGAAAAAGAAAAGAAGAAAAAAAUAUACACCAAAAAUAAUGCAAAGGUCCAAUAAAGUGCUCCACCUGGAAACACCGACAGACAAAUUGAUUUAGAAUUUUAAUUCCCAAACAGAUAUCAAAUGCAUUAAUGUAUGUCACAAUCUUGCCUUACACAAGAUUAUUUCUACGGUAGUAUGUUUUUUAGUUAUCUUAAAACAGGAGUAACAUUUUUGAAUUAUGAAGAUUCACAAUAGUUGCAGGAUCAUAUAUACUGCAUUACCGAGACAUAGUAUCAAGAAAUGUAUUAGGGCUGGUAAAGGAAAUAUUAUAACAUGGUGAAGAUCUCAGUUACCUAUUAGUGAUAAGAAUAACUUUCUAGUAACAAAAAGAUUCUUACUGUUAUGAAAUAUAGUUUCACUUUUCCUCUGAACUUUUAUUUUAAAUAUGACAGGAAAGGAUUAAACUUUGCAAUCUAAACUCAGCAAAAUGAACUUUCAUUCUCCAUCCUCUUUACUCGAGCUUUUAUGUUAAAACUCACAACCUAACCUGAGGUUUUCCCACCAAUCUAAGCUACUCUCACUCUUUUAAGUACUGGGGAGGGGGACAUGUUCCCAAGACAGUUGAUAGCAAACUAUGCAGCAAUCUGGUUAAUAAGGUAAACAGUAACAGACAUCAAAUAAUCAGUUCCAUGUUUCCUAUCACUUGCAGGAAAUCAGGAGCUAACAAAAUCUUUUACUAACAAUCCAUUUAUACCAUUGUUCUAUCUUUCUCAUACCUAGUGGGGCUUUCAAGGAAACUAAAGUUGGACUCAGGAAUUUUGUUUGGGUAGUGAACCCCAUAUAGUUGGAAAAAGACUGGAUAGUUAUGGUAUUUGUUUUUGGAUAACAAGAAGAGGAAAUAGGUGAGACUUAUUCAUUAUCUUAGGCAUUUUGGAAUGAUGAUCCCUUACUUUGCUGUAAUACCAACUUAGUCCUCUUCUCAUAGAGAAUAUAUUCGCCUCCAAUAAUUUUCUGUAGCAGAUAGAUAAGCCCCAACCUCCUUUUAAGUUAUAACUCUAUUAGCCUUAAUGUACUAAAUGCCAGUUAUGCCCCCAAAUGAGUUCUUAAAAAUCUAAUUUCCCUACUACAAUUUUUUCCCUCCAUUUUUCCUACUUUCUGAACAGUGCUGCACCAUGAAAGGCUUCACCAGCUGGCCAGAUCAUAACAAAAAGGUUUUUUUUUUCUCUGCCUCUUGCCUCUUGUCCUUUUACCAAAGGGGUCCAACCAACAUUCCUCCAUGUUGCCACUGACCAUGAGUGAAAUAAAAAGUUUUGCUGGCUCACACCAUCACAAGAACCGGUUCAUCACUGUUUGUUUCCCUCUCCCUCUUUCAGUCUUUUUAAUUUAAUGCCGCCAUAGUUGCCCAUUUUUUACCAUCUCCAAACCUAGUUGAAUUUAAAUCACAAGAACAAGAACCAAUUGAUCAGUCAAAAGGCACAUGCCAUGUGAAUACUUAGUGCACACAGUGAUCUUUCCCCUUGCAGAAGAAGAUCUACUAAAAAAUGAAGUAGCUAGAUAGGAGGAAGAAACAACAAGAAAUAACCUUCAUUGAACAAUGGAGAACAAGACUAGAAAUUUUAAUCAAUUAAAUAUGCUCUUUUACCAUGGCUAGGCACCCCUAUGUAUAGUUUUAGGUCCUCUUGAACCUUUCAACAAAUAUGGCCAUAUUCAUUUCUUGCAAAUAAGGAAAAAAAAACAAGAAUAUUCCCUAUAAUAUGCCUCUUGAUAAAAUCUCUGACUCAUCUUGACAUUGGUUGAGAUAAGAUCUCUAAUUCAUCUGGACAUCACUUGAUUGGAUAUGAUCUCUGGCUCAUCUUCAUAUCUCUUGAUUGGAUAAGAUCUCCAGGAUUAUUACCUAACAUGUAGCAGCCUUCUAGAAUUGGCUUAGGCUCGAACCUAAUGUUGGACCCCCUUGUUCCUUUGGUCAAUAUCUGGCAUAUAUUGGUUCAGGUACAUGUCAGCCAAGUCCAUGACAUGCACAACAAUACAUUUAUAGUUAACUUUCAUCUCUGAGAAAAGUGAAAUAAAAAAAGAUCUUAAUUCAUAUUACCUAAAACUAUAACAUCUUGUUGAGAAUUAACACCUAAUAUUGAAAUCUCUCUCUUCAACCCUACUACACAAGCUCCAUUCUCCCCUUCCCCAUCCUCAUAAUUGUCACUUUUACCAUGUUACCAUUCUUUUGUCCUUGGAAGCCAGAAAAGAAAGGAAAGAGGCUUCCAGGUUUUGUUCUCUCUCAUUUCUUUUUUGGGGAUUGGAGGAACUGGAUGACCGAUGAUGCCCCGAUCUUAGGAGUGGUGCUAGGAUCCUUUAGUUGUAGGGGCUGAUCAAAGUACUACAUAUAGAUCAGCAAUUCUUAUGUCUAAUGAAUGUGACAAGGUUCAAGGAAAAGGAGUGUAUAAUAUUUUGGGGUAUGCAUGCUACCUGCUAUCUCAAUUUGAUAGCAAUUUUUUUAAAUUUAGGCUACACGAACCUAAGCUCAAUUUGAAUAAAUUUUUUAAAAAAGUGGUGAUUAGUGCAUAUCCAUGGACUAUAUAUAUAUAUAUAUAUAUAUAUAUAUAUAUAUAUAUAUAUANNNNNNNNNNNNNNNNNNNNAUGCUAUACUAAUUCAAAUUAAAAUUAAUUUUCUACAUAUUUUUAUAACUAAAUAUCCAUUUAUUAUUUAAAAAUUUAAAUAAAAUGUUUUAAAAUAAAAAAUCAUUAAAAAAUAGUAUUAUAUGUAGAUGAAGUAGAACUUAUUCUGACGUUCUUUAAUGAUUUUUUUGUAUUACAAUGUGAAUUCACUAUGUUUUAAUAAUUAAGUAAUUAUAAAUGUAUAUUAGAAUACCUGACGUAUUUAUCAAACUUGCAGAAAUAGAUGCAGGAAAAGAGCCGAGUUUGACAUAGGUUGGGACCAUGGUGUGAUGCUAUCGAACUAGCAUCACUAGAGGUGCAAGUGGUGCAAUGUGAAGUUUAGGAAAGGGAGAACUAACCAAGUUAAAACAACAUCAAACCAGUGCUUAUACCCUGACGUGUCAGCUUGUAGAAAAUGCCAGCAAGAGGUUUUGAUGAAAAAACAUUAUGCUGAUUUUAAGGCGAGCAAAUGAACAUCCAAAAAAUAAAGAUCAAACAUCAGGCAAUUGAGCCACCUUCAUACCACUUAAGAAUAUGAAAGACCAUAAGGCAUUGGAUCCAAACGAUAUGGAGGAAUAAGUUCAGGCUACCAUACAAGAGAGCUUGAAUACCUAGUGAUAGAGGGAGGAGAUUGCCAGGCACAAGGCUUAGUUUGGACACUUACAAUACGAGGCAGGCAGUGGUCUCGGGUCCAACAAGACAGAUCUAGGCUACAAGAGAACAUCCUCAGUUAGAAAGAUUGUCGGUAAAGGCGGCAGCAAGAAAGGAAAAAAGCCGAACAUAUUAGCAAGAGCCACCAUUCACGACAUAGAUCCACAUGCCUUUCCCAAUAGAGAUUUGAAGCAACAAAUGAUGAAUAUCACCCUUGUCAAGAAUUAAAAAUGGGACAUGAGGAGAGCUAUUGUAUUAGGGUUUUACUUUAGUCACAUCCCUGGAGAUGCGGCAAAUAAUACAUACUAUCAUCAGCUCCAUGUAGAAAGCCAGCCAGGGUGUAGAUCGUCAUGGGUCGAAGGACAUAUACAGUGAGCUAGUGGACAAUAAUAAGAAGCUCAAAAUUUCAUAGCCUCCUAGCAUAGCAAGAGGGACAACUACGACUGAUACUAAUAUGUGAUGGUUAGACAGGUCCCAACAAGCAGAACAUCAUUAAUUUCUUCAUAUAUUGUGAUAGGAAGACCUUUUACCCCAAGUCAGUUGAUGCUUCAGAUCAGAUGCCCAAUGUCAAUUACAUCCUUAAUUUGAUGAAGUUAUUCAUCAGAUAAGGGAGAAACAUGUCGUGUAGGUGGUCACAAAUAAUGGACCAUAGUAUAAGGCCGUCGCGAGACUCCGAUUAUCAGAUUGAAAUGUAUUGAAGAGGAAAUCAAAUUAAAGUACGAUGAUCUACUUCACAAUGAUUUUGUAUAUGAUGAGGAAGAUGCGAUGAUCAAUUGCUUGAGGACCGACAACAACAACUAGAAAUUGAUGAGCUAGGAUCACCUUCUCGACCGGCCUAUUUCAUAACAAUGAAGGUUGGAGUGGGUGCAAAACAAUAGGCAGAACGACAGAAGCCACUUUCACAUCCAGCCAAGCAACCAAAAAGUUGGGAGGUGGCCGGUCAACAACGUAGAAAUUCAUGUCCAAAAUGUUCUCAUAUCGCUUUGAUAGAGAUACUAAGAAGAGGCCAUCAUGGUACUCGAUCUAGUUAGGCAGGUUGGGCCACUCAAGGUGGUGGGCCAAGUCGAGCCACCUAGCAGAGCCAGGCAGGCGGGGCAACUAGGAAAAAAGCAGCUUCUCAGAUCGGCAAGAAAGGAAAAGGAAAGGAAAUUGCACUUCCAUUGCAGAUUGUAAAUGAGGAAUUUGCUCACUCUGAUUCUGGGACCAAUGAGCCGUUAGAUAACCAAUUGCCCAGAUUAUCUGACGAUACCAACAAUGAUAAGUUUUGUCCGAGCAACGAUGCAUUUGGUGGGUAGGGAGGCGGUAGAUUGGACAUGACAUGGUUGCAUAUGAUUCAAAACCCUGAUUCACCGGUGAACUACUCAUGUCAUACAAAAUAGAGACCAUAGUGCAUGACUUAGUAGAGCAUAAGAAGAUACAACUGCAUACAGAAGACGAACUUCGAGGCGAUUUGAAACAUGGCGCUGAUCCUGCAAAUAACCUUACACAGGAAAUAGGGUCCCUAGACGUAUCUAGAUUCAAGUUGUAUGCUAGAACCUAUUUCACGCAGCCAGGCUAUGACCCGCAUUGAUAUCAUUCAGUUAAAGUGUUGUAUUCGAGUGGCUACUAUAUAGUUCACAACCUCAAGCAAAUUACGGGUCGAAUUUUGCAGCCUCGAUCUUCGAAUGGUCAGUCCAGCAUUAGACAAGAGAAACAUCAUCAAGGUGGCUCUCUAGGUGGCAGAGCUUAUGGACUAUAAGAUUGGAUAGUAGAUUAUCUGGUAAGUUGGAGUAAUAUACCAGACCCAAACUAUGACCGGGAUCUCAACAUCUACGAGGGAUAUAGGCACUCAACCAAAUUUUAGAUAUCGGUACGUAUUUUGUAAUUGAAACCCAUUUGAUAUAUUGUAUGUAUUUUCAAUUAUAUGUUAAUCAUACAUUCAGUUAUGUCAUAAUUGCAUUAAUUUAUCGAUUAUAGCAUGUUUGUUGAGAAUCAAGACCUAUCUGACAUAAAGGAUAUCAAAACAACAUUGAAAUUCUAAAUUAAACAACCACAAACAUUAAAAUAAACACUGAAAAUAUUUUAAAAAAAUUGAAACAACGAAAAAUUGGACUAAACCGGCUACAUGUAUCGAGUGUCGAUACGGUACUAAACCGGGUACCAUAUCGAACCAGUCACCGAUCGGUAAGAUAUCCAGUACUGGUUCAAUGGACCUUGCCUGAGAGGAUCACCAAGAAAAGCAGCUAUUCAUAGACCCAUAGGAAAAAUGACUAAUUUAAAGUUUUACUAAUGCCAUUAGGUUGAAUCUCCAUUACAUAAAAGGUCUACCAAAGGAUACUGCACUUUCAUUGCAGGAAAUUUAGUGAAAUGGAAGAGCAAGAAGCAAGGAAUUAUGCUUAGAUCAAGUGUUGAAACCAAGUAUAGAACAAAGAGAUACACAACUUGUGAGCUUGUACGGCUAAAGACUCAUGAAAGAGUUGGACUUUGCUGUCCAUAAUCUAAUGAAAAACUAUUGUGAUAAUCAAGCAGCAAUUCAUAUUGCAAGCAAUCCUAUCUCCCAUGAGCAAAAAAAGCACAUUGAAGUGGACUGUCAUUUUAUUAGAGAAAAGGUGGAGGACAAACAGAUAUUUAAACCAAUUGUUAAGACAAGGAAUCAACUUGCUGAUGUUUUCACAAUUUCCCUGGGGCAUUCUCAACAUCACACUGUUUGUUCCAACCUGGGCAUUAGAGAUAUAUGCGCUCCAGCUUGAGGAGUACUAAAGUAUCAGUAUUUUAUUAUUAUGGGUUUUGUUUCUUAUGGGCCUUAGUUGUAAACAUACAGAGCUGAUUCUAUUUGUCUAUUUGGCCUGCCUGUUUGUAUAGGGUCAUUUUUGGAAUGCUAAAACAUGGAUGCCCUAGUUAGAUAAAAGAAAAAGAGGGUCACAUGUAAGUGAAUUUUUGUCUGCAUCUUUUCCCUACACUUCGUUCUUUUGUCUCUUUCUUUCACCCGUUUCUCUCUUCCAUCUUCUGAAGAUUAAAUCAGCAGCCUUUAUAGAUACCAUUGGUGCCAAAUAAAUGACUUUUCAGUCCUUGCCAUAACAAAUGGAAGAAAUAAAUUGAAAAGAUUGUCAGCAGCUUGGGACCGGUGGUGGCUAACAAAAGAAACAUUUAAAACCAACAAAAUAAGGUACCUUAAAGUAUUAGUUCUAAAAAGGAAGACGAAAAAUGUUAUGGUUUUACUUCAAUUUUACCUAAACAAAAAAAUGAACAGGAAAAUAUAAACAAUCAAAUACAAGUUUUUAAAUUCAGAAUAUACCAUAUUAUAUGGACCCCAUAAUCCAUGCCAAGGUACGCCGUACCAGAACUGGUAGGCGUACCAGUCGCCUGCCGGACCGGUACGGUACCGGUUUGAACCGGUACCGAACCGGCGAACAGAGGGACGCUGCAGAAGGGGAAAAAAAGAGUCUGCGGGCGCAUGCGCCCGCAUUAAAUGCCACAGAGUGGCUAAAAUGCCACUUUGUGGCAUUAAAGGCCCAGCGCCCCUGCGGACGUGCUGCCCCGAUGCAAAUCGGGCGAACCGGUUCGGUUCGCCCGGUACAGUAGAUUUACCACUCAGUUCCGGCCCCUUCAGCCAAACCAGACCAGUUAGGGACCGGACCGGUCCGGUACGGGCUGAACCGGCCGGUUCAGCAUACCAUGAUCCAUGUAGAAUCAACCCAUAUCAGCUAUCAUACAGUCAGAUAAAUUGUAAAACUGCGGUUAUAUUGCAUCUUGCACCAUAUUGGUACAUGAUUGAUAUGGGGACAAUGCAAGAUUUCAAACCCUGACCAAAUAUACCGUGCCCUAGUUAAAAAUAGAACCAUAAGUUGAAGUCUGAUCCGUUAACUGCAAUCCAUGAUCAGAUCUAAUAUGAUUAUCUAAAACAUUGUCAAAUAUUAAACUUGAGUAUAGCUUAGCAAUAGAUGGAUGUCUGAUGAUUACCCCAUUUGGUUUAGAAAAAGUUGAGGAGGUGUGAUAAUUAAGAGCAUGAUUAGGUGUUUAGUGUUUGCAAAAAAGAGGGCCAAGCACAGGGGUGGGGGCAGAGGGUUGAUGGGUGGGGUUGGAGAAGAGUUUUGGAGGGGAGAAAUGGUGACAACAGAUGCUUUUGAGGGGAGCUGCAACUUUGGGUGCGUGUCAGGGAAGUGGAAUUUGUGCAAGAAUUGAGACAGGUGAAAAGGAGACUGAGGGAGAGUAAGAGGGUAAAAGAGGUAAUUAUAGAUUUGGUGAACAGUUGCAUAAAUUGAGUUAGGAUGUGAUUAGAUUUUUGGGUCAAAAAAGCAUACUGGACCCAGCUUCUUCAGAUUCGGUUUGAAUUAGGAUCCAAUCAUCGAUAAGCCUAGCUAAAAUGUGCACUUUGGCACAAUAAGGCAGCUAGAACAUAUCAGAAGCCAAACUCAGUAAAGCCUUAGGUCUAAGUUCCGCCAUGCUCUUUGUAUGUGGUUGGGUUCAUGAGCCGCAUUAUAGUCCUUCAAGUUUUCAUAGCUAACCAUGGCUAAUUCUUAACCUCAAAUCAAUAAUUUGUGAAUUGCUAUUACUGAAUUGCUGGCUAAUAUAGCCAUGGAUUAAUCCAAAAUUUCUUCAUUUGCCCAGGCUCAUAACUUUAUUUUCUCUCUAGAAAAGUACAUUACAAAUGCUCCAUUUAAAAUAGAAUGCAAAUGUUUUACUUAAUUUAGGUUCAGAUAAACGAGCAUUUAGCUAAGCAGUUAGAGAUUUCUUGAUAUCAUAUAUGUGUAAUAGUCAUUAGGCAGCAAUCUAAUGUAAAGGGAAUAUAAGUGUACUCUGAAUUUAAUACAAUAUUCAGAACACUUAAAGGAUAAUUAAAAGUUCAAACUAAAUAUCUUGAAUAAAAAGCAAAGUUUAUUGGCAUGGCAUACAGAUUUUAAAGUUUGGAGGGGAAUAAAACCAGAAGAAAAGAAAGCAGAUGAAGGUUUCGUACUUGCUUAGACAACGCCCUUUCUAUAGUUCCCCAGACAGGAAAUAUUAGGCCACCCAAAACAUUGACCUCUUGUAAUCGUCUCCCAACUGUACAAUAAUUGCCAAAUUUGCAUUUCGGUCCAUGCAUGCACUGAAAUAUAGACAGUUAACAUAUAACAAAAAAAAGUAAGAAUUACAACAAUAAGAAUGUUAUGGACAUAUACAUAAAUUGGUUAGAAAAUACUGCUAGAUGAAAAAGAACAAAUGCAUGCAAGUAAGCAGCCACAGGUAGUCCAAACAUUCAUGCACAAACGGAAAUUGAGAUACUUUGCUAUAAGUAGUUCUCUAUAAAUUAGGUGCAAGAAAAAAAGCAAAUCUGUACUUCUAGAAUACUAGUCUUCCACUAAGAAGGUUAAUUGUUUAAAGUCCUACAACUUGCACUCUACCAUUUAUGAUUCCUCCUCAACAACAGAACUAAGAAAUUUGCGAAUUUGGAGAUUGUUGCUGCCUGUAUUGCUAUUUCGGUCCAUGACAACUGUCAAUCUAUUUGACAAUUUUCAACUGAAAAAGCAUAGGCUGCUUCUUGUUGAAAAAGAGAUAUUUCAAUUCUCCCUUGUUUCUGAGUUCUCUCUUAACCAUUUUGAUGACCCAGUUGCCCACACCCAUUGUACCAGACUAUAUUACCCUUCAUCAUAGGUUUUGUUUUAUUGAAUGAAGUCAAGAUUCAGUGGGCAGAAUGGUUGGGUGUUAUAAACUAACUUAGUAGGUUUGCUACAAACAUUAAUUAUUACAAAAGAAUGAUUGGAGCAGAAUCCUAGUUGAAUGUCAGUUUAUUUUCAUCACAGAUCUGACAUAAAAUUUGGAGAUGAAUUCUUUGCUAGAUGGAAAAAUGAACCAAACAUCUAACAUUUUAUUUUCAAACUAGCCAUUUACUUAUGUUUAUCCAAUUUGACAUGUAAAUAAGCCAUUUCCAGCCUAUUGCCCACUAUGUUCUCACUGGGUGUACGAUCCUUCAUUUGGUGAAUAGUCCUAAUAAUUAGCAAAUUAUCUCUUUCAUUGCAAAUGUAUAACUCUUGAGAUUUGUUUGGUCACUUUCUUUCAAAAGCUUGCUUACUUUCCUUUCUAUCAGCUGUUUAGCACUCAAAAUGUGAAAAUUUAAUUAGAGGUUAAUAAUACUUGUAAAAGAGUAGGAACAUUGAUUUAGAAAGAAAUGAAAUAUACUAUAUAUGUAAACAUUAUAUAUAAUAAAUCUUAUAUUUGGUGUGGUGUUAAUAUGUUCUGCUUAUGCACAAGCAAGAUAGGAUGACAAAAUAAAAAAAAAGCAAAAGAAUAUUUACAGGUGGCUGCUUAAGUGGCCAUAUAGAUAGUCAAGAGUAAAGAAUGGCACAUGGUGGACACAGAUUUAGAGAAUUGAAAGCAAUCAGCAAUUUAAAAUUUGAAAUCACAGAUGUUUCUGAUCUUAUAAUAGUGAUUUUAAGAAGAAAAAGCACAGCUGUAAGUGGGUGAAACUUAAUAUUUGAAACAAUUUGUGUGAGAGAGAGUGUGUGUGUAAAUAACCAUAACAUCUAGUGAUUAUCUAUGUUGUGAUCACCACUACGCUAAUCGUGCAAGCACAAACAAUGCCUAAUGUUAGAAUAAACUCAAAAGACAUGCAGAUCAUCUGAUUCUUAUGCUAAGUUUUACCAUGCACCUUUCUGUAAUAAUAGAAUAUGUUAAACAUGUAUUGAGAUCAUAAGGUAGACAGAUACAGUUAAGUACUUAGAAAAGAUAGAUGGAGGACAAAACUGUCAAAAAAUCCACCAGAAUUAAGACAGCACAGUUGUCAUUCUCUCGUCCUAUUUGCUCUAGAUAUAACGGGUCAUUCGACAUUACUAGAUAAAUUGUAACCAUGAAAAGUAACUAAUUCAUACUGAGAUCAUUAAGAAACAAUAAUUUGUGUUUAAAUUACACAUUUUUAGAUUUAACUGGCUACAUAUAAUUUUCAGUUUUUAAAAUCUGGACAUUAGUGGAAAUGAUGAGUACAAUUACCUGUUUAGAAGAGACAUCAUAUUCAUCUUGCCAACCUUUGCUGGCUUUUUCAAUUGAAGACACCUUUUUGUAUUUACUUUUGAGCUCGGGUAGAGACAUUUCCCUGGAGAAAGGGCAUAAGGUUUAAAUUCCAAAAAUAACCUCAACAUGCAAUAAAAUAAUUAAUAAUAAUAUGGGUAUUCCAUCAUAAGUACCUUAGGGCUUCCCCAACAGCUGGGCGAAAAAUUUUAAACAUACCUGCAGCUGAACUGUUGCAACAUAUGGAGGAGAAGAAAAAAAAGGUCAAAAAAUAGCAUUUAAAACUUCAAAGAAUCUCCUAUAGAAUUAAAGCUCUAAAGUCUAAAUUAAUAAAAAGCAAAAUAAUAAACUAGAGUGAAAAAAUUAACAUGUCUAUAUGGUACCACAUUACAACUGAAAACAAACCAGCUAUAACCGAGAUAAUAGUUGUAUAAUUGAUGCUAGCAGUGAGCUUACCCAUGACAUCAUUUUUUUUAUAUUCAAUACUUUUUUUUAUUCUCAAUAAGUUGAAAUAAGGAAGAUAUUGCAAAACUUUAAGGUUUACAAAUCUUAAAUAGCAAAGAGAAUAUAAUUUUUAAUUUGACCUGCAUAGUACAUACAUACAUACAUUUAUACAUAACAUACAUACAUAAUAUGCAUACACACAUAGUACUGCUUGUAGGUAACUGCAAAUUGUUGCAUUUGAGAUGUAAGUCCAUUUUAAUUGUGUAUGUAGGGAUCCAUGCCCUACCCCACCCCCCCCCCAAAAAAAAAAGAAACAGUGCAAUGAUUGGUCAAUUGACUUUGCAUAUGCAUCCCAAAAUGCUAUCACUUGCACUUUCUUAGCGAGGGGUCAAAUAUUUGUAGGUUUUUACACAAUGGAGAGGAUAGAGAAGACAACAUGGCAUUAACAGUCAAGGAUUAGGUGUGGCAAAAUUUUGUCCGACGGAACUAAUCCAGUCUGACCCGAAAAAAUUGGGUCCAGACUCCAGAUAAUGGUUCUCUUGUCCAAAAUCCAAGCCCAGAUUAUCUGAUUUAAAAACAAGGUCCAGCUCCGGGUCAGCAUAUCUGAACUGGGUCCAAAUACCCCUACUUAUGAUUCUAAUCUUAUGUUUGUACUUAAAGCAAAAGCCUUAACUAAAGAUUCAAAGUUUCCUAUCCUAUACAAAACCAAAGAAAAACUGAGAUUUCCCCUUUCACUCUUGUGUGUCUCGAUUCCCGACUCUUGUUUCUCACCUCUCCCUAUUUCCUUCGCCCAUGAAACCCUAGUCAUAAUUUCACCACCAUUACUCCUACUAUGAGGAAUGACCUCAAUUCUCCUUUUCUUGUGUCAGUGGUCCAACACCCCACUCGACCACAAUCCUGAUGACUGACCAUGGCACAAAUUCAAUUCUUCAUCUCUUCCUACCUCAUCGCCCCACCUUCAGUGCUUCCCCGACCACAGCACUAGAGGUAGUUUGCAAGGUGCUCAGCUAGGGAGAAAAUUCAGCAAAGGCCAACGAGAUAGGAGGCAUGAUAAAACUAGAGUUUCUUCAUUAUUCGGAGGGAAAAAAGGAUUCGCUUACAGUAAUCAAACAGUGCAUAGUAUAUAUUUAGCGAUUAAAUGAGUAUCCCACGGAGCUAGAAUCUAGCGACAAAUGAGUUUUUUGGUAGAAAGCAAAAAAUUCCAUUUCUCUUAUAAAUAUACACCCCACGUGACAUAUUUAAGAUCCUUAACACCAAUGAGGACCAGAACCAAGAGUAAUCUAUAUUAUUAGCUAAAUUGGAGAGGUCAUCAAGAACUUGAUUACCUAGUAACAAAUGAUUAGUGUACAAAAAUGAUAACUCAAGGAUCCGAAAAUACUAAAGACAACUGUAAUCUAUCAAAUAAAGCUUCGACAAAACCGUCGAUAGGUAAGAUAAGGAAACCAUUGUCACCAAGGUAACUUUGUCAUCUAUGAACAUAACCUGACAUCCACCAAUGAUACUUUUACAGCUAGUUUGGACAUUGAAAUUUUGAACCAAAACAUUUUUUUGUGCAAAUUCAAAGAGAAUGUUUAGGUUUAUAAGCAUAUAUUGUGAAAUAGGUUAGGGUUAGUGGUAUAUCUCAGUAGCAAAUGCAAUUGCUCUGCACUAAUAAUGACAAGAAUAAAUGUUAGAAAUUUCCAAGAAACAACAACAAAAGGAAGCCAAUAAGUGUAUCUUCUGACAUUCUUUACAAGAAAUUUGUAUGUUGAAAAAAAAAGAAUAUAUAAUGUGUCAAAACAAAGGUCUGCCGUGCCGGUACAGGAGCCCGUAUUGGUCAUCCAGUGGCAUGGUUCGGUACGCCCCCAUGUCGUUCUAUGCAGGGCCCAUACCAACACAAAAGAGAGAGCGAGGGACCAGGAGAGGGAGAAUGGGAAAGGAGAAAAGAGAGAGGGAGGAGGGACGCCGCAGGCCUCCAGAGGGCCCAAAUUUUCAGUGAAGGCGGCAAACCGCUUGCCGACUUCACUUAAAAUUUUCAAAAUAAAAAAAGGAGCCCGACGGAUCCCUAUUUCGAACGACACAAGGUCCAGAGGGUAGAGCCCCUACUCCGACCCUUCGGAGCCCCUCUGAUGCCCUCCAGAGGCCUCCAGCGACCCUCCCUCCAUCCCUCUAGCUCUUCCGUCCCCUCCCCCUCUAUCUCUCUCUUUCCUUCUCCCUCUCCUCCCACCUGCCAGUUUACCAUUUUGAAUGAUGAAAUUGUCCUAAUCCACUACCGUCAUGGCUCCGUACGCCCCAAACCGGACGGUUCGAUAUGGUUCCGCAUUCUUUGGUCAAAACUUUAAAGAACAUGUUUCUUUUAGCCUUUAGGUAAAUUUCAAUAAAUGUGCAGCGAACAAGUAAAUAAUCAUGUGCAAAACACUAACUUCCCCUCUUUUAGUUUAAAGCAAUUUGAACCAAAGAGGGGCAUAUGAACUUGAACCACCAGUUUGGGGCAUACCAAACCAAACCAAACUGGUGGUGGUAUCAGUUCGGUUCAGCUGUUCGGAUUGCUAAAGGCCCCAAACCGGCCUGAUCUGAGCGGAACCACCUGGUUCCGCUCGAUUCAGAAUAGUUCGGGGCGACUUGGGCCCCUUACCUCCUCAAUCAUAGAGAGAAGAGGGAGGCCAUCCUAUGGCCUCCUCCUCCCUUUUCUUCCUCAAUAACAGUGAUUUAGGGGGAAAAACUCAGGGAAAAGGGAUUUUUUGCCAAUUUUGAGCCCAAAUAUAAGCAAAACCAGGUAUAAUCCCCUCCCUUCUCCUCAUUCCUCUCCUUUUUCUCAUUUUGAUGCCUAAACUAGGCCGAAAAUUGGUAAAUCAGGAAAAAUCAUACCAAAAUUUUGUAUUUUGGCAUGAUUUCAUGAUAUGUCGUUGAUCUAUGGAUAACCUACAUAUUGUAUCAAAAGCCACCCUUCAUAUAACCUACUACAAGCAUAUAUAGGACAUGACCCCCUAAUUCAGGUAUUAAACCCGAUACAAAAUCACAUUAGAAAUAUAAUCCACUAAUAAGGAAACAUGCUAGAAUUAUCUGAUUACAAAUUAAAAAAAAAGAUAAAAUUUGACUUCUGUUCACUCAUGCGCUCACUCAUAGGUAGAAACAAAAUCAAAUAUUUGCAUGUCGAAGUCUUCGCCCAUGAAUCUACACUCUUGUGAGACUUGGCAUGGUCCACCCGAUCAUAAAAUUUUAUAAUUUAUAUGUAUUUUCAAAGUCAAGAAUCUGCAUUGCUAAUGUUAAAUUAUUACAAUUGCAUCCAUUAAGCAAUCAUAUGGCCUCUAGGAACAAUAUGACAUAAAACAAUAUUAAAAUACCCCUAAAAUCAUAAUUUAGAUAUCCAUAAACCUUAAAAUAAUCUUCAAAAAUAAAAAUAUAAAAAUAAAGAAAAUGUUGUACUAAUACCGAACCGAUAUGCAUUUACGUAUCGAGUGUCCAUGUGGCACGGUAUGGUACCAUAUUGUGCUAGUCCUAUAUCAGUGCAUUGCCCAGAACCCAAACUACAGUCCUUGUCCUAAACUAUAAGUGCAUGUGCCAAAAGGAAACCAAUAACGAAAAUGAAGUAAACCUCCUGUUUAAGCUAAGAUAUAAAGGGAACUAAUCUCCUCUAAUUUCUACACAAAGAAGUUCAAGGAAUAACAAUAUUCAAUUAGGCCCAGUCAAACAACUGCUCAGGAAGCCCUUUUUUCCCUAUGGUUGAUGCUUACCCUUUUUGGAAGAGGGUCAUCUUGGAGCCCCUUGCAUUCGUUCAGCAAUACACGAAUGGAGUUGAGAUCAUUGCGAAGUUUAUUGUAUAGAUCUAGGUUAAGCUCACAUGAACACCCACAUUAGGCUCAUAGCUGCUGACAACUUCCCCUUCUAUUCCUAGCUACAUUGUUUCUAUAUGUUAAAUGAGAUGCUUCAGCUGGCACCUUGCGUACAGGUGGUGCUAUUGUGGUUUCUCCACAAGAAACAGUGAGAGUUUCUGGUGUCAAUCCUGGACCACAGCUCUCACUGAGGCGCUUGCUGACACUCCUCCACUCCAAUUUGCUAGAUACAUGUAUCCUCAUGGGCAUAAUGUGCCUCAAAUGAAAAGAGGAAACCACGCAACUAAUGUAUCAUGCUUCAUGCCUUAGUGGCUUUAGGCCCCCAAGCCCACCAGCAGCUUGGCCCAUGAAGAGGACCAUGGUUUUGAACUAAUUGUGUGUGAAACUCCUUUAGCCCCAACUCGCCUCCCCCCAUCCCACCCAAAAGAAAAUCAACUCAAUUUUUUUUUCCUAGCAUAACUUUUACUGCCUACUUUUACUUUUAUAAACAAAACUAUGAAACUCGAUAAUGCAUCUAAUAGAGAUUCUAGGUAAAAUUUUUAGUAGAAGCAGAGUUUGCCGUAUUGGUUGGUAUCGGUGCAUACCGACUACACCAUACCAAACCAUUGCACAGUACAGGAGGCGUACUGAGUGUGGAUACAUUAAACCAGCCCCCGUACCGACACAAUAAUAGAAUAAUAUCAGUAAGGGAUCCAGUACUGAGACGGCGAACCUUCAGCAUAAGUUUAAACAAAAUCAUGAUUAUUAGCAGAUGACGUACCCUUCAAAUGCUAGCAUAAAGUGCCGUUUCCCCAUCCAUUCUCUCCUAGACUCAUAGAAUCCAUCACUGACACAACCACCUCCAUCCUUUUCCCUCUCAUCCAGUAGAUUUUUUGCUGACUGCAUAAAGACAAUCAGAUAUAUGAAGCAUAUAGCUACUAUUGAAAUAUUGAGCAGAUAUAGACUGCUAUAUGAUCAUGUAUUCAGUAAGGUCACGUAUUUACCUCCCAAGUCAUACCACGAUCAACAAUGAAUGUAAAUAAUACAGUAGAAGCACCCGAUAAAUUAUCAACAAAAACAGUCUGUAAAGAAUAUCAUGAAUAUAUGUGUGAGAACCAGAAAUUACUGUUGUAAUAGGUAAUUUUGAAGGAAAAAAAUUACCUUGGGUGAUCCCUGCAAUUCAAUGAUGUUACCUCUGAUAUCAACAAUCCCCGAAUCAAAUUGCCCUUCACUUCGUGCAUUGUGAACAAGAAGAUCAAGAAUGCUGAUAAAAAGUUCAAAAAGCCUGGAAGAAUAAUUAAUAUGUUAAUUGACUCAAUGAUAGUUUCUUGCACUGCAGCUAAAAGCAUUUCUCAAUUAAUUACGGGCCUAUUCUGGAUUUCUGGAGGCAAGCCCAAAAGACGAUUUAGAAAGCGUCCAACAUCAUGCAUAUCUGAAUCUACUAUGCGGCCAGUGACCUUUCCAGCAUCCUUUCCAUUGCCUGUAUUAACCACCACAGAACUGACAGUUAAAAAAGAGAACGAGAUGAAAAAUUAAUACAAGAAUCUUGAAAAUGGGAAAAAAGAAAACAAAAAAAGAAAAACUUAGCAUUUUAAAUGAAAAACCCACUCAACAAUGGACAGAACAAAUACAUGAAACAAUAUGGCUCUCAAGGAUACAAUGUGGACCUCUCCAAACAUUUGGAGGAGAUUUGGUAAGGUUAUUUUAUACAAUAUGGCUAGGCACUAAUAUACAUGAACAAAUUUGUGUGUGUGUGUGUCAAAAUUCAAUCACAGAAGUUCCCCACAAGGUCUGCGGAACCGUCCCGAACCGCCCGGUUCGGGGCGUCCCAGGCCGUACCACUAGUGAACCGGGACAGUUCCGCUAUUGAAACCGAGACAUCUCUGUCCGUCGCCAGAGGGGGAGAAGGAGAAGAAGAAAGAGGAAAAGAUAGAGAAGGGGGAAGGGAGGGAGAGGGAGAAGAAGAAAGAGAGGCCAGCCGAGGCCAGCCGGCAAAGGCCAAGGAGCCUCCACACGAAGGAGGCGGAGGCCAAGGAGACGCGAACGCGGGGCUCCGCCUCCGGUUCCCUGUUUCGUUCGAAAUAGAAGCCUAAAGGAGGCCCCUUUUAUUUUUGUCUUUUUUAAGUUGAAGUCAGCAAGCCCCGCCUCUGCGUGUCCCCGGCCUUCGCCAGUCGGCUCCGACUGAGCUCUCUUUUCCUUCCUCUCUCCCUCCCUCCCCCACUCUCUCUUUUCCUCUCUCAUUCUCCCUCUCCCCCGUCUCUUCUACUGUAUCGGUACAGGCCCGGCACGGCACGGCACAGGCCCAUACCGACUCGUCCCGCCAGACAACUGAUACGGUGCCCGGUACCGGUUCCGCCAACAUUAGUUCCCUAUAACAAAAUGGAUAGACAUCUAAUACUGUCGAGAGGCGAGGGGUCAAAAGUCAGUGGCAAGACUACAGUAGAUGUACGGGCGUGCCACCGGUAUUGUGUAGCUAGAAAUAGGAUGAUCACAAGAAGAUAAUAAUAGUGUGGGUCCAAAUGCCUUAACCUUCAAGGACUUGUGGUAAUGAUUGAAGCAAUCUACUGCUACUGCUACUCUUAAGGAAAAAGUCCUACCAGUAAACUACGAGUAAGAUAAAGUAAAGAUAAAGAAAAGAUAAUUAAAAAAGAUAAAUGGGAUUCAUGGAUGUUUCGAAGGGUCUCCUUUUUUUAGCAUUACAAUAUAAUAUUUAUAAAUGACCCUCUUUAACUAUCUUGACACUUGUCCUUGCCAUUGCAUGCCACAUGGGCCACUAUUGCCAAGACUGGUAGGUAGUGCUACCGCUCUGCUCGCAUCCUAGGUUGUGGUAAGAUGGAUGCCAUUAAUUAGUUUUGCCACUUGUCAUCGCUAGUAUUCCACAUGGCCCACUAUUCCAUGUAUGAGGAUCAGCCCGACUAGACCGGCCUGGGCCUGGGCCUAGACCAACCUACUAGUGGGCCGAUCUAGAGUGGAGUGCAUGGCCCGAAGGCCUAUUCCAAUUAAAAAAAUGGGGGCAAAAAACCAUGUUUUAGUUGGAGACGAACUCCUGCCCGAUCUCUGAUGGGGGGCUAGGAAUAACCUAGCCUCUGCUUCUAUUUAAAGGCCCCCACCUCCUACUUACGAGCCACCAUUGCCGAUCACCGCUAGUAUCGCUCUCUUCCUCUUCUUCUUUCGGAAGACCUUCCUUGGUACCCGCCGGAAUCAUGGAGCAAACCCUUGCCAGCAACAAGGUAAUAAACCUUCUUCUCCUCACUCUUCAUGUCCCUACGCUACCAUCGCCGACCCAAUUGAAGUCGGUCAGUCGCCGGAUUCAGCCGCACACCCUCUCCCCUGUUUGGCGUGAUCCUUUGUUUCUUCUUGUUCUUUCCACCAUCGGCCAAAAUCCGUAGUAAAGUUGCUCCAGUUCUUGUCGGAGUUCGGCUUUCUAGCCGGUGAUAUUGUCAUCAUCAUUGAUUUCUCCAUGGUGAAUUGUGCGGGGAGUUGUUGUUCCAUGCUUUCUCUUCCCCUAUUUCUCUUCUACCGGCCAACCACUGUCGCCACCAUGGCCCACCACUCUGGUCACAAUGACGGCUCAGGUAGCACCCCUCUUCCCUUCCUUUGUUUUGAGAAAAGAGAGGGAUACCAUAUUCUCGUUUCCCCUCUUCCUUCUCUCUCUUUUUAUCUCUGCUCUUUCUUUCUCUCUCUACCUGAUUAUGGGGAUCUAGUGGAGGAUCCCAAGUUUCAAUCUAUAGACCCUAGGUUAGCUCCAGUAGAGGGUUCUGGACUAGCCCAUUUGUGACCUUUCUAUAUGUUGACCUCCACCUAGUCAGUGCCCGACAUUCUUGAAUCUCAUCAUUGAUGACCCUGCCUUGCCCUCCUUGCUCUGAUCUGACUUGUUUCAUGAUCCAUUGGUUCCCCAGAUCGAAACAGCUCAUGUUAUUGGGCAUUGUUACCUGGUAUAUCGUGUCCUUUUUCUCUAUUUCUUGAUUCGCUCCACAAUUAAUUCUAAUUAUUAUAAAUUUUCUGGAUAUUGAUUCGGUUCCAUAGGCAUGCAAUCAAUUGGACGAGAAGACGUUGAGCAAGGAGACUUCUGCUCUGAUCCCUAAAUCAAGGUAAUCCCUAAUAUCUUUAUUUAAAUUAGUCACAUGUUAGGUAGGAUCGAGAAAAUUAAGGAUAAAAAUAAUUUGAAUGCCAACAUUCUGAAUUAGGAACUUAGCAAUGAUUGGUUAAUUAUUAUUGUUGAUGAUUGGUCAAGAACAAGUUGGUUUCAUAUUGAUUUUUAAAUUAGACAUGUUAGGUGGGGACUGGUAGCAUUGCAACUGAGUUGGUUGCAGCAAUGAUAAGAAUUCCUAGACACGAUCACCUGUAUUUACAUAUGCUUAUUUGUACGUUGUGUGGUUUCGGUUUCAUGGCUGAUUGUUGUUGAUAUGUGAUUGCUUGUACGAUUAUUUAUGUUUUCUAUAUUAUAUGAAUGUAGUAACUAUUGAUGGCUUUUCUAAUGACUACAUGAAAGUUUAAAAGGAAUAUAAUAUUAUACUACAUCACUUGGCAUGAAUAAAAUUUAAUAAACUGAUAAUUAAGAAAGAGGUGUUUAGACUAGCCGCAUUAAACUAUGGAUAGCCUCAUCACAGGUAGGAACAUGGCAAUAUGGAUAGCCUUGUCAUGGGCAGGAACAUGGCAAUGUGAAUAGCCUUGUCAGGAGCAAGAACGUGGCAUUAUGGAUAGCCUGCCAUAGGCAGAAAUAUGGCAUUAUGGAUAGCCCUGCCAUAGGCAGGAAUGUGGUACUUGAGCUUGUUAGUCACAGGCUGGAGUGUGGCCAUGGUUAGUCCAAAACCUAAAGAUAAUGUUGAUUGAUUCAGAUCCAGUUAUGAGAAAUAGAUGAUAAGUUAUAUGAAACCACUGAGAGGAUUUGUGAUGAUACACAAUGUAUGUUAUAUGCAAAUAUAACAUUUUGAGUUAUAUACUGGAUGCUUGAUAUGGUAUUUCAUGGUUUAUAUUUUCACUCUGAUACUGUUUGUUUGGUAUUCUCGAAUUAUACUAUUAUAUUUGUGUGGAUGUAUGGGGGUUCUUACUAGACUAUAAUGUUCACAGCAUCUCCUCUCUUUUUUCUUUCAAAGUUGCAGGAUGCUUAGUACCUGGCUAUGGUUGGGAUCACAGGUGGAAGGAUGAAUAGGUAGAACAUCAUUGAUAUUGGUCGGAUGGUUGAGUUUUGUAUUUGUACAAUUCUUGUUAUUUGUUAUAAAUUGAGAUCAUUAUUGUUCACUGAUAUUGAAGUUGCAACGAAUUUACAAGCCUUACAUAUUCUCUAGGGCUUGCCCUAAGAAGUGUGCAGCCAUGUCAUGUGGCCAACCUGGGUGAUGGGUUUGAGGCAUGACAAUGCGCAUGGUAGGUAGUGCUACCACUCUUCUCAAUUCUUGGAUAGUUUAACUACUUCCACAUCAAGGAUAUGAUAACCAUCAUCCUUGAACUCUGCUCCACUAAAAUCCUCAUCCUAGGCUAAUAGCUCUCAUUCUCCUCGGUCUACACCAUAAUCAAUUGACCUAUACCCUUGAUGUUUGGGCCUAUAUAUUUGGCCUACACAGCCCACUUGAAGACCUGCUACUUGGUCUAUUCUAGAGAACCUCCAGCACUUAUUAUUUGAUUGGCCUUUGGAACACCAUCGUCAAUCUGGAUGUGGUGUAAACACAUAUGAAGAGCAUUUAUAGAUCACAAUUGGUUGAGUACUUUAGUUGAUUGCAAUGGUGAAUUCAAAUCAGGAAAUGUCACUUAUAUACCUCACUAGUAUGUUUGGCCAUCUGAUUUUUCUACUAUAGCAAAUAGGCCUUGUAAAGCAGGAUAUGCUACGAAGUGUUCCAUGCAGUAUUGGUGAAGUUGCAAAACCAUAUUCAAGUGGCCAUUGCAUGGAGAGUUUAGGUAACAUGAGUAAAGCAAUAGUCACCUUACUAUGACGAAGCACUUAAAGUACUACUAAGUGUAUACUUACAGAGAACUGUAUCCCUAACAAUUCCAACUGAUAUUAGAGCAGCUUUAGCCUUGGUGAUAAAUUCCUGAACACUAGCUGGAUUCUCAGAUGAACAUCCAGGAGGCACGACCGGCAAAGGAUCCUGAUAAGCUAAAGAAAUGUGAAUUUACAUGGUAUUCAGCUUUGAACCAAAAAAAUAGCACAAAAUAAGUUUGAACAGAAACAGCUAUAAAAACCUGCUCCAUUAUUCCUCUAUACAUCAUUGCAAGCGCCCUCUUUCCAUAAUUGCUAUCAUAAUUAAAAGCACUUAAUGAUAGACCAGCCCUAUAGAAACAAUAAAAAAGAAUAUGGAAUGAGAACAAACACAUAUUAUUCUCUUGUAUUUUAGUUCAAGUUUGAGCAUAUUGUGUUAGUUGAACACAAACAAUCAAUUAUAUCAGAAUUAACCUGCGAUCUCCUUGUGUUAGAGCUCCAAGAGACUCUAAUCUCUUUGCUACAAUUGAUGCAAAUCGCCGUUCACCACCAAGAUUUGUAAAAAGAAGCCUAAAAGCAUAAAAUUAAAAUUAAAGAGCAAGACAAUUAAAAUUGAAGCAUAUAAAAUUAUAAACUUCUUUAAGAAAAAAGGAAAAGAAAAAGAUUGAGCACAUAUUAUCUGGCCAGAUUCUGGGAGACCACUGCAAAUAAAAUUGAAGAGCAAGACAAGGCAAUGCACUUUCAUAAAAUGACUUCCUUCAGCCAUAUACUAGCUUAAAGAAAGAACAAAGAAGUAAUGAAUGAGAUGAUGCCAGAAAAAUACGGAAGAACUCCUCUUUAGCGACUCAAUCACUAGAAAGUGCACAAGUCAUUAGGUUACAUUUAGUAAUAGAAAUGCAAUUUGCCCUUAGAUGGGUAAAUUUAGGUUCUUUUGACUAUUUUAAUACAUUUUGAAUAUUUGUUAGGCUGAAAUUUGGACGUUCUUAGACAUUCUUCGCUUCCCAAGGAUAAGUAGUUUAAAUCUUAGUUGGGAAAUGGUUUUGACAAGCAAAAGUAAGAUUAUUUUGAGGGUAAAAUAGUUAUUCCAACUGCCUUUGUUAAUUUUACUUCAUAUAUUUGGCUCUAUAUUUCUGACAUGCAAAAAAAUUGCCAAUAAAAGCUAGUGAAGUCUUUAAAAUUAUGGUAAGCAGAGGGAGAAGUAACAGAACAAAAUGUCAAAGAGUACACAGGAAUAGUUGCAUUCUAGAAAAAAAUCAUAAACAUACAAUAAACAUAUGUCAAAUGGACUUUUAAGAAAACCUAAGAGACUCAUCUAGUUACAGUUAUAAGAAACGACCUAUAUUGAGGUGCAGAAGCUUGAUUAGAGCGAUGAGUUCUUCCAAACUGUUGAAUGGCACGGUCAGCACUCCAAGGAAGCUCUAGAGUUAUAUGUACCCUUCUUUUCUGGCAACCAUAAUUCACAUGAUGCUCAAUCGAAAGAUACUUUCUGAGGUAGCAAAUUCUUGAAGAAUUCAAACAUGAGGGAGAAGGCAAAGCUCAAGAAGAGAUAAACCUGAUUUACUGCCCUUCUAUCAGCCUGUAGAGACACACCAGCUGAACCUGCUUCAGAUAUUAUAGCAACCAACUUUUUGCCAUCCAUAAACAAUUGUUUCUCAUGCAUAUUAACCAUUUCCAUGGCAACUUCCUUUCUGCAGAGCAAUAAAAAAAUCAUUUCGAUUUUAAUAUGAUAAAAAAAUUGAAAACUAAAGUUACACAAAUCCAUCCUCACGUGUUGCGCGCCUGAUAAAUAACACCUUUUCCAGUUGAAGCCCUUAUUAGCAUACCUCGCCUACCAGUCAUUUCUGCAACAUUUUCAGGGCCCCCUAACUGCAGAUAUACAUGAACAGUUGAGUAGCUUACUGGUAAAGAUACAAAUCCACAUUGAAAAAGUUAAUGAGAUAAAAUGUGCUGAUGAUAACCAUAAUUUUCGAUUGUCUACAUUCAACAAUCACUAGAUUGAUAGAAUAGAACUUUCCAGUUGUCAGUGGCAUAACUAGCAAAAUGUAAUUGUUUCUGGAAGUAUUCGUUGUAAGUACAUUAUAGGCUCAUUCUUAUAAUACAAUACUUGAACAAAGUAAACCAUCAGCAUAGAUACACCAUAAGCACAGUGCAAUAGAAGGAAGCAUAGAGCAUCAUAUCCACACUCUAUAAUAAUGACCCAUGACCUCACCAAAGAAGGCUUGUCGAAAGGUUAUUAUUUAGGGUCCUUACAUUGCUUAAGUACCCAAGACCACCCCAAAGCACAACAGGUGUAGGACUAUACCUACGUAGGACAUUACACACUCCCCUCAUUUAAGCCCUAGCAUCCUCACCAACAGAAGAGUCCAAUCAUAAGCACCACAAGAGCUCAAGAUCAGCCAUCAAAGUGCCCAUGCUGCAACAUCCCCUGGUCACACAUGGGUCGUGGGCUAGGCCAACUCUAAUAUCAUUUGUAACUACCCAAGCCUCACCCAAAAGGACUAGCUAGAUGGUUAUCAAAUGGGGUCCUUGGCCUUGCUAAGUACCCAAGACCUCCAAUGCACAAGUCCUGUGGGACUAACUGCACGGUCAUGCAGGUCCUAACACUAUACAAAGAUCAGUGCAGAAGAAUGAAAAACAUAUGUAAUUGUGAUCAACUGAUUAGAUCAUGGAUAGAUUAGCUCGGUAUCAGUUGGUGAGCAAAAAGAUCACAACAAUUCAGCACCUCUAUGACCUAUUUUCCAGUGUCUGGACUAUGGAACCCAAGGGAAAUCUGAUGACUUUUUGGCAUUGGCUGAGCAGACCCCCUUCUCCACCAAGGAGAAAGUCUGGUUUCUACCAUAGCAAUGGACCAAUUGUAGCAUAUUUGCAAAUGAAUAUGGGGUUUUGAACUUGUGAAAACUAAAACUCAAAAGAGCAAGGACACCGAUAAUGUCUAGGGUAUGUAAUGCUUAGAAGUAUAAAUAAAACAAAGGAACUCAGUAAAACAAGUGCAACAGUUCUUCUAGAACACACACACCUAGGAAUUCUAGUUGCACCGUAUAGAUAACAGCUACGGUUAAAUAUAUAGCAUCUGAAACUGAAUUUGAGAUGAUCACCAGAUAUCGAACUUUUGUAAGAAAAAAUCUAUGUACAAAUGACCAAAUAAUACAGAGUGUCAUUGUUUUGAUCAUGCCACAUUAUGAAAUAUGCAACAUGAUAUUGUUGCCCAAGAUGGCUAAGUAUAACAUUUACUAGGGUAAAUCUGUGUAAAUAUAAAAAUAAAGUUUGGUAGACAUAAAAGCAUAUCUUCAGCGCUUGAACAAUCUCUAUUUCAGUUCAAUGACGAUAAAGUUUUAUUCAUAUAAAAAUUAAUCUUGAACGUUGAUGACUAAAUUUGAACAUAAUACUUGAUUUUAAAACAAGAAAAAACUCUUUGCAAAUUGGGUAACAAUAAUGAUAAUAUAAUAAAAGCAAAUUAAUUAUAUUUUCCUGCAAUUCUAACAGAUUUGAUGAUUCCAAGGAGUAUUGAGGCCUGUUCAUGAUAAGGACACCUACCUGAUCAAUUAAAUCAUCCAAAGGAUUGUUAGGCAGAUCCAAAGACCGGAUUAUAUCCAAAAUUUUUGAUUUUCGCUCCUGUGCAGCUUCAUACCUGACGAAUUAUAGUAUAAAUGUCAUUUGUCAAUUAUGUGAUCACAGAGCAAUUUAUUGGUGUUCAAGUAUAUACCUCUUCAAGAGUUCAGCUACAUAGGCAUCCCUUGCCUUGAAAUAUUCAUUAGUUUUCUCCCUGCAUGAGUAGCAUGACCAAUCAUCGGGAAGUAUAUCUGUCCAAGGAGGCACUAAACAAGCAGGGUGGACUAGUCGACCACAACAGGAACAGCGAAGCAACAAUUUCUUCUCCUUACAUGAUAAUAAAUACAUCAGCAACAGAGAAACGGAAAUAGACAAUACAAAAGAUAUUAUAAGUAGAAAAUAAAAGUCACCUCUUCACUGUUGCAAAUUUCACAUAUUUGGAACUCUUCAUCAGAUUCUGUUGAUUCAUGAUCGGACUCGGCUGCAACAAUCAUAAGAGUUCUAUCAAUAGGUAGACUAAUGAACAUUUAAGACUUCAGUGCACCUACCCAAAAAUAUAUAAAUUAGUUUAACCUAUUAAUUUACAACAACAAAAAAAGCAAAUUGGGCACAAAAAUUAUGACAACAGAAUGAUGGCACCGUGCAGCAUCAGUGUCUUUUGGAUGCCUACCAAAUACUGAACUUUUAUAAAUACUGCUACCAUCUAACUUGGUUCCACACCACCUAGUUUCUUCAUUAGUAUAAUGUCAUUUUAGGUUUUUCAAGAACUUCUCUAGCAAUCCCUUUAAUGUGUUCUAGCAAAUCAUCUCACAACCUUUCUAGUUCAGUUCUGAAAUUUUUGUUCCCUUUUUUAGUAACUUAUCUCUAGAACUUUUUUUUAUCUUACAAGUUUUUGUUGUUUUGCUUCUUUUCUUCUUGGUCCUUUGGUGUAUAAGACUGUUAUGAAGGGUCAUCUUACAAUCUUUUGCACAUUGAUCUCUCAUUUCUCUGGAAAAAAUUAACUCUUAGAAAUUUGAUCCAAACCUACAAGUAACCAAACCUUCAUUUCUCUUCCAAAAACAAGUAUACGAAAUUGCUAGAUGAUAGACCACCACAAACUCCAGCAGUUAAAAUCAUAUGCGCAAAUGUAAGAAAUUGUUUAUGUAGGGGCUCGUUUGGUUGGAGGUAAGUAAAAACAGUUUAAAAGUGCAGUACAAAGAAUUAAUUUGCCAAAGUCAUUUGCCAAGAAACUGUAGACCAUUUCAAAUGCUUGUUUGUAUGGAUAAAGUCUACUUCUUUAGACUUUCAAUGUUUGUUUUGAAGUAAGUCACAUUGUGUUGAAUUAUUAAAGAGGCACCAAAUAUUUGGAAGUGCCACUUCAGCACUAGUCGAGUGGUAGUCAAAAACUUAAACAUUUAUCGCGAUUGUGAAAGUUAUGUUUCUGGGUUCCUCAAACAAAAGUGCUAGAAGUGCCCAAUUUCACUUAAACUCAAUUUCUCCAAUGCUCACUUACCAACAACCAGAUGGACCCUAAUUGAAAGCCAACUUAUGAUUAACUGGAAAGUGAUCAUACAACCAACAGAGCUAGCAUGAAAAUUUCAAUCAAGGUUUAAAAUUUUGGCAGAAAUUGAUCGAUUUCGGCCAUGACCAAACCAAAACUGACCCCCCCAGUUUCGGGUUUCGGUCAGUUUCAGCUGAAACUAGCUUGUUGCCGUCCUGUUUCGGUGGUUUUGGCUAGUUUCACCGAAACUGAUCGAAAUUAGUUUUAAAUACUUAUUCUGAAUACUAUUUUGAUGUUUAAAAUAUAUUGGGGACAUUUCUUUAUUUAAUUAGUACAUAGGCUAUCGAAUAUUAAUUUCAAUUACUUUUCUUUCCUUUUAAGUAUAUAAUGUUAUAAAUGAAUAUAAAUAGUGAAUAUAAGUAUAUAAUUAUUAAUGAGCUAAGGACUUCGAGGAGGCCCCUAUUAAAGCGCAUUAUGAUAACUAAUGCAAACAAAUAAACAUAAGACACUUCAAAGAAAUAAUAUCUUUUUGAUACAAAAUGAAUAAAAUAUUAUAUAAUUACAUGCAUCUAUUAAAUAGUCACUUAUCCACAAAAAUAUGAGAAUUCAAUAUAUUUAUCAAUUCUACUAGAAAAUGAAGAAGAUUUGAAUGCACUCAACCAAGAAAUGCUGAACCGGUACCGGUAGGCAUACCGGUCGCCUACCGGACCGAUUCGAGACCGGUUCGUACCAGAACCGGUCUGGUCAGAACCGGUCAUUUAUUUAUAUUUUUUUUUUAAAGCUUCAAAGUUGCCAAAUAUAAUGGAUUUUAAAAACUGAAGUUUAUUGACAAAAUAUACUUCUUCAUAGAAAAAAAAAUUAAAGUAAUAUUUUGCUUACAUGCAAUAUUAAUUUCAGUCUAAAAUUGCUGAAACUAUACAACGAAAGCAACCAUAAAACGCAAAAUGCUCUAAAAUGCUAAUUAAUAACUUUUCUACACAUUUUCUUUUCUCUCUUUUUCUAUUCUUUUGAAUUUUUCCUGAUUUUUUUUGACUUAUGACCGAAACUCCGAACUUGGAGCAAAAUUUCUUAAACCGCUGAAACUGCCAAAACUGAAACUCCACAAACUUGAUCUAUACCAAAACUAAACCCAAUGUCAAAGAAUACAAAUAAAUAAAACCAAAGAGGCAAUCAUAGUUGCAAUAUAAAAAAAACAAAAAGAAAUUCCAGAUAAGAUUCAAAGAAUCAUUGAUGACCAUCAGUUUCAACGUGCAAGAAGUUUAUGUUACCCUUUUAAAGUGCCUAAGUUCAGAAACCAUGCUUGUAUAGUUUGUAUAGUGUACCUAACAGAAUUUAACUGUAAGUUUCUAAAUACAGUAGUCCAUAAGAAAAUAACGGAGCAUGUGAUAGAUGGGCAAGCAUACAGGUUCAGGUUUUCAGUUUCCAAUACUGAGUUCUCUCUUAUGAUAGAUAUGGUAGAAUCAAGUGAUAAACCAGUCCGCCAACAGGACACACACACAUACAUAUCAAAAUCUCAUGAAGUACCCUAAUUUUUGCUAGUCUAAAAUGAUUUAUUACUAGAUUAAAAUUAACUAAAGUUCAACAGAGAAUAGAAAGAGCAAUAUGAUAUUAAAUUACAGGAUAAGGCCAACAUCAACAUUAAACCAUGUGGUUGUUUUUAGAGCAAAACAAGAAAACCAGUGUCAUAGAAUUAUACACUCUUGUACUUCAUUUUCCAUUUAAAACGAAGUACCACAAUCCAUGACUACCAUUAAAAAUAUCAGCAUUGUAGAAACUCACUUUGAGAAUCCUCAUCACUUUCGUCAUCACUUGCAGCUUUCCAUUUUGCAACUUUUCUCACCCUUCCUUUACAUGAGACACCAGGAGUUGCAGAAUGCCUCUUCCGCUGGAGCUCUCUGACACUUUCUUCUAAAGUAAAGUUUAGAGGAAAAGCUGUUUUAUAAUGCAGCAGUGUUAAGAAAAAGGAUCAUCAACAAGUUGAGCACACACCUGGUGCUGAGUCAGGCUUUGGAGGCAAGGGAUAGUUUUCUUCCACCAGUUUAAGAAGGAGUUCACGAGGACCCGAAACAAAGUCAUCCAACUCAAGACCCUGCUCCACAAACCGGUCAACUAAAAAAAAGGGAGAAAAAGCUUCGAGAAUGCAUAACUGAACUGUGGAGACUGUGCUUAAAACGUAAGAUCAAUAAUAGAAGGAAACAAUGGUCUUAAAUAAAUAUAGAACAAGGUACGCACAUAUUUUGUUACAGCUUCCUCAGUUCGGGCUUCUCCAGUGCUUUGAAGACCAAUCACGACACACUUAUCGUCUGCCAGUGCCUGUUUGGCCAGCCUCAAAGCAGCAGGAACUUUAGCUGACAUACACAUGUGUCUGAAAAAACGCUGUCAACACCACAGCAUCAACAUCCAAUCUUUAUAAUCAUGGAGAAAAUUGCAUGUGCACGCAAGCAGACUCACGUACACAAGUCCAAGCAAGUGAUGCAAGCACUAAAAGCAGCAUUGAGGUUUAGUAUUUAUUAUCAUUGGACCAUCAAACACA
rnacentral:lncRNA from 1 species